UUUUGCAUCGUAAACUGAUAUUCAUUAAUUAAAGGGUAUGGCUCAAAAACAUAUUUGACAGAACAAAUAACCCCAAAGAAAAGAAAUGACAAAAAAGUAAAACAUGUCUAACAAAACAAGCAAAGAAUACAGAAAUGCAAAACCAGAAAACGAAACGCAGCCACAAAACCAAACCCCCUAAAGAAAACCCAACGAAGAAUAUCAGCCAAAAAUCUUUCCUUUCAACACUAGAAAUCCAUCGCAGCUCGAAGCAUGAAAGAAAAUAGUUUUGAAAGCCAACUAUGGAGAUUCAAAAGAACCUUCUCCAAUCUUCAAAGCCCGACAACAAAUCAUCAUCGCUGAUGGAGCCAAUCCAUCCGAUCCUAUUCCACCAGUUUUUCAACAGAAUCUGGUGCCUCCUCAACCCAGAAACAUGAAGUGUGUCGCUGACGCCCAUCCAUCACCAGAGCAUGCGCCACCCUGUUUACUUCUCUUCGGACAAAAUGGUAAGCAAUUUCCUCAAAAUAUCCCUCUAACAACCGAAUACUCUGUGAAAUUGGUCUGAGUAUAGAUCUGUCCUCUCUUUUUUAUUUAAGCCUCUUGAUAAUCGUUACGGAAUCCCCUUCCAGUAUGAUCUUCCUGGAACCCAUGUCAAAUGCAAAACAAAGAGCUCUUUUACAAGCCCGAGCUUCUACAACAAAAGCAUCUGCAACACCUAUAUAAGGGUAAGUACAUGCACUCAUUAUUUGGCCCUCUUCAUUUUGAGUUAAGACUGCUGCAAAGAGAAUUUGAGACCUUCAUGUACCAGCUUGUUUCGUUUUUACCACAGAGCCCAGAAAGAUAUAGUUAAAAUUUUCCCGGUAUUCUCAUCCCUGCAAUUAAAGUACUUACUAAUUGUGUUUUUCCAUCCGAGGUAUUCCUGCUUGGGUCGAAUGACAGGUUCAAGAGCAGCCAAAAUUGUCGCAAAACACCACAGGACCACAUUAAAUGGUCCAAAUCCUCUUGGGCCUCCUUGCACAAGGGACAGACAUUAUCAACACUUAGUCUCCGUUUGGCCAAAUUAUUAAAAUGAGGCACAUAAUCCUUGAGUAAACACCACAUAUGAAUUUUAAUUUUAGAAGGGAGCUAUAAAUCCUAAAGCAAUUUGUAAAAAGUCUUGUAAUUGUCAAUUGUAUUCAAAUUACAUUCAAAAUGCUGAAUCUUUCUUAUAAAUAAAGCCCGAUACCCACUCUUCACCGAAUACUCCCCUGACAUUGUGGCACCAAACCAACAUAUCCUUGUCUCUGGAGCUUGCAAUUAGAAUAUUUAAAAUGCAACUAGCUUGUUCGCGAUCAACAAUCCUGCAAAUCACCUCCUUGUUCUAGGUACUCGAAUCCACAUCAAUUAAUUGAUUCACUGUUGACUAGCGAGUAUCAAUAUUCUGAACUAACAAUCUACCAUUACCAGGACCAGGCAACCAAGGAUCAUUCUAGAUAUUCACACCCGCGCCACUGCCGAUUCGCCAAAGUAAACCAUCAUCAAUCAAUUCCCUAGCACUGCAGAUGUUUCUCUAGGUAAAAGAGGGGUAAGAACAAACUUUUGCUGACAUAAUACCUUUGAAAGGGUAAUAACGAGCUUUAAAGACUCUUGCUAAAAGACAAUCGGGCUGGGAUAGAAGUCGCCAAACUUGUUUAGCUAAUAGGGCUUUAUUGAACAAAAAUAGGUCCCGAAAUCUCAGUCUGCCAUCAGCUUUGGGAAAACAAAGUGCACUCCAAUUGCUCCAAUGAAUUCCUUUGGUUGUUUUAGAAUUAGACCACCAAAAUUUAUUCAAAAUACCUUCUAGCUGUUGGCAUAAGGUUUUCGACAAAACAAAACACUGCGUAACGUAAACAAGAAUUGCUUGAAGCAUCGCUUUUAUAAAAACUUCCUUGCCCCCCAUCGAAAGAUACAGAAGACUCCAACCCUCAAUUCUUCUUCUGAAUCUGUCCACAAAGUUUGCAAAAGCCCAUCUUUUCUUUUUCCCAACCAUCAUUGGCAAGCCUAAAUAUUUCUCUAGGUUUGUUGUCACCAUAACACCCAAAAUGUUGGUUACUAAAUUCCUCCCCUCAGGACCCACGCUUGCACCAAAAUAAAUAAGUGAUUUAUCCAAAUUAACUUGUUGCCCCGAUACCAAUUCAUAUUCCAUAAUAACGUUACAGACGAUAUGAGCUCCCUCACCUGAAGCAUCACCAAAAAGGAUGCAGUCAUCAGCAAACAACAGAUGGAUAAUUGCUAAUCUUCCCCUACCAAUCGGAGCACCCCUCAUCAGAUUAUUAUGUUUUUCCUCAUUCAGCAAAAUAGAAAGCCUUUCAGCGCAGAUUAGGAAAAGAUAAGGGUUGAACGGAUCGUAUUUUCGCAAACCUCUUGAUGGAGUAAAACGAUCACUAAUGUCCUCAUUAAUUCCCACUGUAUAGGUAACUAAACAAACACACCACAUAAUUAGAACGAUCCAAUCUUGAUGAAAACCCAAUCUAGACAUCAUUCCAGCUAAAAAAUAUGAUUCAACGCGAUCAUACGCUUUACUCAUAUCGAGUUUGAGCAUAAAAUUCCCUCGUUUACUCCUCUUCUUCAUUUUAAGAAAGUGUAAGACCUCAUAAGUAAUUAAAAAUUAUCCGAAAUGUGUCUCACUGGAAUAAAAGCUCAUUAAGUUUCAUCAAUACAACGUCCUAACAUUGGACUCAUACGAUCUAUCAGAACUUUCGCAAUAAUCUUAUAAAUCACAUUACAUAAGCUUAUGGGUCUAAAUUGAGAGAGAUUUUUCAAUUUUUCAACUUUGGCAAUUAAAACUAAAUGGGUUUUUAUUGAUCUCACUUAUUUCAAUCUCACCAUUUAAAAUAGCCAAGCAAUAGCUAGAAAUCUUAUCACCUACAAUAUGCCAGUACCUUUAAUAGAACAGUGCUGGAAAACCGUCAAUCCUUAGAGCCUUUAGGGGCGCCAUCGACUUUUCAGCAUGCCAAAUUUAGUCCUUAGUGAAAGGUUUAAGCAGCUCAUCAUUCAUACUUGUUGUGAUCAUUUGCUCAACAAGGCCAAGCACUAUAACAACCCAAUUUUUAGUAGUGUCAGAACAGUGAUUUGAGAUCCGAUGAAAAAGUUAGAAAAAUUUAUUAAUUAAUAAUAUAAGUUAAGCGUGAUUUUAGAAAUAUUUUUGAAUUAGUGAUUUUUUUGAUUUAAAAGAAAUUAUUAGGUAAAUUAGGUCGAAAACAAGGUAUUGAGACCUCAAUAUUAUAAACUGAGCCAUAAAUAUUUAUAUUUACGGAGCGUCAUUAGGGUAGUAUUAAAGUUUCGUUAAGAAAUUUUAACGUUUCGAUGGUUAAUUGAUUAAAAAGGAUAAAAUUGAAAAAAAAUGUAUUCCCGGGACUCCAUUUUGAUAAAUUAGACCCGUAAAAUAAUUAUUAAAAAUAUUUAUAGAAUUAGUCAUAUCAACAAUUGGAUUUUAGUUAAGUGAAUUUAGUUAAAUUAAAGUUAAUUGAGUAUUAGGAUUAAAUUGAAUUAAGUGUGAAAGUUAAUUAUAAAAUAGAAAAAGGUGAAAGGACUAAACUAAUAAUUAAACCAUAAAAAGUAAUAGGUGUGUGAUAAUUAUAAAUACAUGUGUAAUAAAUAUAUGUAUACAUUUGUAAUUAAUAUAUGUACAUACAUAUUAAUUAAGUAAAAGAUAUUUAUAUAUUAUAUUAUUAUUAAUUAAAUAAAAGAAAUAAAGGAUAGAAAAAGAGAAUAGAAACAGAAUAGCAAAACGAAAACAGGGGAGAAAGGAAAGAAAAAGAAAAAGGGAAGGAAAGAAAGAAAAUUUGAGAUUUCAAGGUUCAAGGUUUGAUUGGUAAGCCAAUUUAGUCCAUUUUCUUAUAAUUUUUGAGUUUUUGGAAUCCUAGAACAAAGUAUUAUUGGAUUUAUGUUGAAAUUUUGGAAGUUAUUAGAUUUCUAGACAUUGAUUAUGUUGAAUAAAUGAAAGAAUUAAGGGUUAAAUUAAUUUAAUUUCAAGUUAAAAGUUAGUAAAGGAUUUAAUUGUAAAAUAAAGUGUAAGUUUUGAAUAGUAGGGACUAAAUUGAAAGAAUCUCGAAAUUAGGGAUUUAUGAUAAAAAUUAGAUAGCUAAGUUUAAGUUUAGUUGAAAUUUGAGUAGAAAUGAGGUAAAAAUUGAGAUGGUAAAAUAAAUGAAUUUAGUUAGGGAUUAAAUUAAAAUUGAGAUGAAAAUAAAAUAGAAAUUCAAGUAUUAGAUGAAAAAUUAAUAUUGUAUUAAUGAUUAUGAAAAUUAUCUUAAUUUUUCGUAGCUAAUAUCGCAUCCGAGGCAUCCACGAAGAAAGAAAAAGAAAAAGUGGACGAGGCGUAGACACAAGAAUCACGGUUUGAAUUACUAUAAUUCAAAUCUAUUUAUUAUUAAUUGUUAUAUUUUAAUUAAAAUGCAUGGUAAGUAAAAUUAGGUAAGCAAUUGAAAUGAUAAUAGUGAUUUUGAUUGAAUCAAAUUGAAUCGAAUGAAGAAAAUACGCGAGAAUUUGAAAUGUAUAUUGAUUGAAAAAUAAUUAGUGAUUUGAAUUUGAUUGGAAAAUGAAUUAAAAAUAUGAAUUGAAUAACAAUGAAUUAAAUUAUGAUUAUGUGUGAAUAUGUGAAUUGUGUAUUGAUUGAAAAGUGGUUUGAAAUGAAUCGAAGUAUGAUUAUAUGUGAAUAUCUGAAAUAUGUAUUGGUAUUGAAUUGUAUAUUGAUUAGAAAGUAGAAAGUGAAUUUGAAAUAGAAAAAUGAUUUGAAUACCCUAUUAACUAGUCGGGCUGAGUCAGAUAUAGUUGGCAUGCCAUAGGAUUGGAAGUGUUCAGGGAUACUUCGACCUUGAGUUGAUGAGACACUGGGUGUCAUACUGUUACUUCGGAUAGAUUCGAUGAGGUACUGGGUACCAACUUACUUCGACUUGGCCGAUAAGACAUUGGGUGUCAACUAUUGCUUUGAACUAUCCGAUGAGGCACUGGGUGUCAUUCUGGUGUGUUUGGUUGGAUCCGUGUAUCCGCCAAGGUCCGAAUCUUGUUAAUAGGGGUAAAUAAUUGAAAUGAGAAAAUUUUGAAUAAGUGUGAUUGAUUGAGCUAUAGAAAGAAAUGAGAAAGUGAAAUUGUGAAUUGAUAUGUGAAUUGGAAAUCGAGAUAUGAGAUUUGAAGAUAUGAACCCAAAGUUCAUGAUGUGAUUAAGAAUAAAUUUUUGUUAUAUGAUAUUAGUGAGUACAAAUUGCAAUAGAGUUGAUAUUGAAUAUAGUGAUAAAUUGAAUGAAUUGUAUAUGAAUUGAAAUGAACUAUUUGAAUGAGAUGUGAAAAAUCCAAUGGAAUUGAGAUAGUGAAAUAAGGUCUAAGUACAAUUAAAUACAAGAUUUGAAAUAUUGCUUAUUGUUAUUAAUUAUCAAGUUGAUUUAAUGUAUGAGAUAAUUAAUGAAUAAUUGUAGACAUAAAUUAAAUGUAUAUAAUUUAUCGAUUAAUGUUAUUAAUUUAAAUUAUGGUAAUACUACUGAGUAUUCACAUACUUAGCGUACGGUUGUUUCCGUGCGCAGGUUAGUAGAAAGCUAGUGUCCGGUCCAGCAUCCAGAGCAAUCCCGACCUCAGAGAAAUUUCAGUGAUGUACCUUUGUUUUGAUAAUGUGGCAUGUACCUAGGUGAUGUAUAGGUUAAGUAUAAGAGUUUUGUUAUUACGGUUGUAGAAUGAUGUUUAAAUUGGUUAUAAGUAUGAAAUGGAACUAAAAUGACAUAAUUUAUACAAAUAUGAAAUGAAAAUGAUUAAAGUAUGCUAUGUCUGUUAUUUAUUUGUGAAUUAGUUAUAAGUCAUCCGAUAUGUCUGGUAAUGCUCCAUAACCCUGUUCCGGUGACGGUUUAGGGUUAGGGGGUAUUACAAGCACCCUGUCAUCACCCCCUGUUUCAGAAGUCGUAAAAAAAUCACCAAAAUACUUCAAGGCAACCUACAACGUUUUCUCUGUUUGAGAAACCCACUGCUCAUUCUCCUUUUCCAAACCAAGUAUCUGAUUGCGACUAUGGCGAGACACAGUGACUUUGUGGAAGAAAUUCAUAUUACGAUCACCAUUCUUUAACCAAUUGACUUGUGCAUGUUGUUCCCAAAAAAACUUCCUCUUUAUCCGUCUCCAGGUUCAACCCUAUUUGCACUUCCAUAAUUUCAGUCAAAACCUCAUCAGUUGGAUCCCGAUUUUAAAGAUCAAACAAUCUUUUUUCCAACACCAGAUGGUGUCUUUUUUGCUCAUAGGUUCUUGAACGACUCCAAAUUUGGAAUUGUUAGCCCGCUGUUGCUAAUUUAACAAGAAUACUAGCAUUUUGAUCAACCCAAGCCUUUCAAACUGUUUCUUCAAAAGAUUGGUCUAAAUACCACCUUGUUUCGAAAUAAAAAUGCGUAGACCCAUGGCUUUUCCUACGUCGCAAGUUUCCAGUAGUAUUUAGAAGAACCGGGCAAUGGUCCAAUAUCGAAUGACUCAAAUGCUCUACUGAAUAUCUUGGAAAAAGGUUCAUCUAGCCCAAACUCGCAAGACCCUUGUCAAGUAUUUCCCUUAUGUUGGUAGAUAAAAAUAUUCCUCUAUCCCACGAGAACCACAUACCAAUAAACCCCAAAUCAUAAAAACGACAAUCCUCCAAAACAUUUCUAAACGCAACCAUUUGUCGUUCAGACCGAAGUCGUCCCUCUCUUUUUUCAAAAGAGCUUGUAAUCUCGUUAAAAUCUGUAAUCACAAGCUAAUGGACUGAUUGGUCAUGCCCAGAUGGUUAAGAAGUUCUCAAGACCCCCGCCUAUAGCGUUCAUCAGGAUUUCCAUAAAAACCCGUAAGUCUCCAAGUCUCACCAUUUUCAGUAUCAUGAAUGUCAACAUCCACAUGGUAAUGGGAAUAACUUCUAAACGAAACCAAAAAAUUACCUUUUCGGCUCAAAGAUAAACCUCUCUUUGAUCCAAUUGCUCCAAUAUCUAUACCAUUCGGAAAACCACAUUUCAAUCUCACCAUUUUCAUCUUUUUAGAGUUCAACUUUAUUUCCAUCAUAAACAAAAUACGGGAAUUAAUGGCCCUUAGUUUAUUUUUGAGCCAGUUUAUAGUCUGUGACCUCCCCAAAUCAUGGACAUUCCAGCUAAUUAGCUUCAUUGCGCCUAGCUGCUCUGCCCUGCAGAGCUAGCCAAUAUAUCAUUAACUCCUCCAUCGAAAUUAUUACUCGAGAGAUUAACUAAAUCAUUCACCACACGCUGGCGUUUCUUACCUUCCAAAGUAUGAAGCGGGUCAUUUUCUUCAUCUAAUUGCAGUUUCAUAGGCCCAUGUCCAUUGUCGGCCCCAUAUAACUCCCUAUUAAUCAUAUUGAGCCAUUUGUCAAUUUCCUUAUUUAGCGCCAUUUGACUAGAUCCUAAAGGAAUAAAAUUAGGAUUUGGAUAAGAUUUAGCCAACUCACCCCCACGACUACUCCCAAAAUCACUCUCAUUCCUUAAAUUUUGGCCCCGAAAUUCUCUUUCCUUAUCCAACAAAUUGCAUUCCGAUCCAUCUACUUCCCGAAGCCACUUGCUAACUGUUGCAUUGCGCUGUCUCACCGCCGCACGUAAAGAGAUAUCCCAACCAAAAACUAUUUUUGAAGGAUCCACUCUGAUACGAAAAGGGCCAAAACUCUCUCCAUGGCCGAGCUUCCCACAAAUAAAACAAAAUAAACUUAGUUUCUCGUACUGAAAAUAAGCAUAGACAAUCCGAUCCUUGUCGAUCAGAAUCUUCUUCUUUUUCAACAGAAUUGUCACAUCCAACCGAACCCGAAUACGCAUAAAAGAUUGAAAAUUCAUCGAUCAAAACGAUGUGUUAUAGUCAAUAAACUGUCCUAGAAAAGCCCCAAAUUGUUUAGCCAUAGAUUCUGUCAUUAAACCCGAUGGGAGAUCAUGAAUUUGGACCCAAAAUUCCAAUAAAUUUAGCAGAACUAAUGACGGACUCUCCCCUGGCUGGAUCCUAUGGAGCAAUAAUAAGUGAUUGUUGAAAAACCACGGUGUUCUCGCAAGCACUCUUUGAACGUCCACCUCAUGAAAAAAUUGAAAAAGGAAUCGUUUCUCUCCCAAAUCUGAAAUACAUAUUCCCCAAAUAGGAUGCCAAAAAUAUGCAAUGCCUAUACAGAAAUAAUAAAACAAUGGCAUGACAUGCUCAAACCCCGCAUCGAAGCUUCCAAUAAACGCCAUGAAUGAGCCAUCCUGAUAUCAACUGAUAAGCUUUUUGCGUCAAAUGAACUCCAUCCCAGCUUAUAUAUUCAUCUGGAUUUUUACACACUCCCACUUCUGCUGCUCCACACAUUUUGUUCAGCUCCAUGUUGUAAUCUCCUCCUAUCCCACAACAAGCUUUUUGUGUUGAAUUUGGAUCCAAACCUAUUCAUAUAUUAAUAAAUCAGAACAAUUCUAAAGUAGACAUAUAUUAUGUCCAUCUAUCAUUGUAAAAAAGAACUUACCAAGAAAUUUAGCUUUGUUCAAAAGCCUCAUGUAUCCAUUGUAGUAGUCGCCAUACAAUAUGGUGGCAUGAGGGAGUUCUUUUCUCAAUUCUUUAAUAGCUUGUUUGAGAAGGCCGUUAUGAUGGCUUGACAAGUUGUUCAAGUCCUUGAGGCAAUUGAAACCGUCGUAGGCAUCGGAAUCGUUGGACCGGAAUACCGUGAGGUGGACCGGGAAGCAGCCUAUUGGAAAGUUUCCGGGAACAAUCACUCGAGUGGCACCAUAACCAACAACUCUCUGUGACACAUUAACAACAAACGUGGUUAAUGAGUAUAGUAUUGAAAUUGAAAUGAUUAUUAUACGAGUUCAAGAUUUAUCAUAAAGUACUUACUGUUACAGCAUCCUUUAUGGCUUGAAUAACCAAGGGCAUCAUGGAUCUGACUUGGUCAAAGGAUUUGCCUUGAAACAAGGCGUAGUUAUAAUCAUUCCCUCCAAUCUCCCCAACGAUGAAAAGAGCCGUUUUAAGCUUCUCCAAACAAUCUAUCAGACAAAACAUAAGGAUCAUAUAUAUUGUUCAGUUGAUGCAAAUUACUGAGGGUAAUUGUGGGACUAGACUAGUAAUUAACCAUCCUCAUCGUGGCAUAUGCCAUUAAAAUGGGUCAACAUCCAGUCAAGCUGCCUGCUAAGAGAAGAAUUGGUAACAGGGGCAACAACUCCAUUAUCAGCUAGAGUCUCCACAGGUAACGCAGUGGAGCCAGCAACCGCGAAAUUCACCCCACGGCCACGAGUGAAUAGUGCAUUACUGUUUAAGUAGGGCUGGAGGAAGGGGAUUCCAGCAGAUAAAGCUGUCCAAAAAGAAAUUACGUUUAUUAUAUGCCAUACAACGAGUUUUAGUUUUGCAUUGAAAUAUAAUAUGGAAAGUUCUGAAAAGGCAAGAGGAGACAUAUAUGAUUAUAUAAACAAACAUAAUUAAGAUGAUUGGACUGCCACAUAAUUAAAGGUUUAUUAAUAUCAUGACCUUUUCGGUCACUUUUUUAAAGUUAAAACUUUUUUUUUUCCCCUUAAAAGCUCAGUCAGAUUGAGCUGGAAACUAACUUUUCCAAAUAAAUUUGUCAGUUGGUCUCACGUUGCUAAAGUUUAUAAAAGAAACAUGUUAGGUCUGCGAUCUUAACCAAAAAAAAGUACUAUAUACUAUGUACUUGCAUAGCAUAAAUUUCAAAAUACUAAGCUUGUUUCAUAUACUAAAUGAGAAUCACAAAAAGAAGAAAGAAACAAAUAAGGAAAUUACCUAGAAAAUCGAUGAUGAGUAAGCCAUUGGAGCAUCUACCGGUUGCAUGCUUGAAGAAGGUUUCACCGUAAGGAAGCCUAGCAAAAGGAGAGAAAGGGUGCUCUCGGAUUAGAUUUCCGGUGUCGGAUAUGGAAUCCCCCAGCUGAUAUAUGGCAUCGAACUUGCAUGUCCUGAGAAUACCUGCAUUGCAUGGAGCUGAAACAAGAAGAAGAAGAAGAAGAAAGAGGGCGGGAACAUGAGUACAAAGGGAGGUAGCCAUCCUGAUUUUCAAGAGAGAAACAAAUAAGUUGGGAAAGCAAACUUUUUGGCUAAUGCCUGUGCCUUAUGCAACUCGUAAUGGAAUAUAAAUGGGGAAAAGUAGAGUUUGUCUUCGAAUCGUGGCAGUUUUAUGUCUAAUAAAAAGGCGGAUUAGGAAACCGGGCCAUGGCUGCUUUGAAUGACAAUUAUAGUCCCACCUUUGGUGCUAAUCGUCAACUACAGAAUAAAUCAUUCUGAAAAAUCGAAUAUCAGUUGGAACUAUAGUGUUUGGUUAGCUUAAAUUAUUUACACAUUUGUUUCAUUCAGUUUAGUUUUCGACUUAUAACAUAAAAAAAAAAUUUGUUUUUUUUAAGAAAUAACAUAAAAAAAAUUAUUAUUUUGAUUUAUAACUUUUUUUUUUGGUAUCGUUGAUUUAUAAUUACUUUUUAUUAAAAUAAAUAUACAUAAACUAGUGAAAAUAAUUAAAAAUGUAUAAAACAUUAUUUUAAAAAAAUUAAAACAAUGAGCUGAACCGGUAAAAUUUAAUUCGGUCCGGUUAAAGUACUGUGAUUACAAAAUUAAUCUAAACCGAAUCAGAAUUAACCAUGCAAUUACAAUAUUUUAUUGGUUGAAACAAAAAGGCUAUAUAAAAGAAAAAUGAAAAGUUAUUAAUAGAAGUAAUAAAAGAAUUUUAAUGGGAAGAAACAGAUGAAGUUGGAUAAAAGGAUACAUCAUAUUAAUCAACAAGCAAUUUACAUUAUUUGCGAGCUUAUCACCAUAAUUUAUGCCGCAUCUUCAUCAAUUAUGCAUGAUGCCAUACUCGUCUUGCACCAAGAAAUUAAUCUAUAUUUUGUUUAUUUCAGUUGUAAAAUAGUUAUUAAAAUAUUUAAAUUUUUUUAUUUAAGUCAUUAUAUUGUUAAAAUUAUUGUUAUAUAGUCUUCUUUAUUUGUAUCGUCUGCACCAAUCGAAAGUUCUCAUUCUUUUUUUUAUACAAUUCGUUUUUUUUCAUGAAACUACUUUAAAUGUCAUGAAUCUUCAAACCAAAAUUCAAAUAGCUUUAUUUUUCGAUCUCGAAUAUUGACCAUUAGAUUUGCUUGGAUCUGAAGUCAAGGCCGAAGCCAGAAAAUAUUUUUAGGCGGCUGAAAUUAAAUUGUGAUUUUUACGAUAGUAAAAAUAUAAUUUUUAAAGGAUUAAAUUAAACUUUUAUCAUUUUUAGAGGGGCUAAAGUAUAAUUUUACCUUUAUUAAUUUGAAAUUUAAAAAAAAUUGAAAGGGCUAAAGUGAAGCUGGCCCCUGCCAGCCCUCUAGAUUCACCUCUGUCUAAGGUAUGUUGUUUUAAUUGUCAAUAGGUGUUGAUCUAUUGUACCGAUGGUCAGAUUUUCACUCAGAGCCCACUACAUGUACUGUUUCUAAAAAAGAAAAUUUUAACAACCCGAUAAAUUAAAAAAAACCUUUUGACUAGUUUAACAAUUAUUUUAUAAUUUUUUAAAGUUAAGUAAUUAAAAUAAAAAUUUACUAAUAAUUUAAUGAUAUUAGUUCUACUUUACCCAUAAAAAGUAAGAGGCGCGAUGGGCUCAACUUAGGGUUUCAAAAGCUAGCCCAAUUAUACCAGCCGACCGCCAUUUCCAGUUUUUGUUAAUUUAUUUUAAACUAGUUUUUUUCCGUAAGUAUAUAUUUUUAAAGUUUUUAAUAAUUUUUAAGUUAAAUAUUUUAAUAUUACGCAAAUUUUAAAAAAUUAUAAAUUAGUAAUCAUACAAAAUAAAAAUGGGGUAGAAAUAUGAAAAAGAAAACGAUAAAAUUAAUAUUAAUAAUGUUAUAAAAAUCACACCCAAGUCGAGACUUAAAUAUAAAAAGUCAAAAUUACAUUUAGGAUUAAGGUGAAUAAAUUAGAAUAUAGAAAAAGAGAUUAAAUUAAAAAGCAACAAAUUUAAAAUGGAAAUAACUCAUGUUCUAUUUAAACACAAAUUUUCAAACCCCUUAAUAAAGAAUUUAGGGUUUCAAAUAUGUAGUUUUCCUUAGAACCUACAACGAAAUUAAGGAGUUGAUUGUGUUUAAAAUUGCAUUUAACAAAUUAAUUUUAAGAUAUAUUUGAUUAAAACUUAGUUAGAAGGUGUUUUCAAAUUAAUUUAUAAGAGAAAGCUUCUAAAAAUAAAUUUUAGAAACAAAACAUCCAUUAAUAAUUAUUUUUUCAUAUAUGAUUACAUUAAAAUUCCAUAUAUCCAUUUUUUUAACAAAAAAAAAUCUUAAUUCGAUUGUACAUCAAUUGGCAAACUUUUUAUAUGAAAAUAUUUUUAUUUCUUAUAUUAAAUGUUUAAAUUUCAUUUAAAAUUUAAUUUAUUAACUUGACCAAGUUUAUAAAAGAACUGGUAUUAAAUAUUAUUUAUAUAUUUUAAUUUAAGAAAAUUAAUAUAUUAUUUAUACCUAUGUAAAUAUGGUAAGUUCUUUGAAGACUGAAAAGGAACUAAAUAUUAUAUAAUUAAAACAAAUAAAAUAUUAAAAUAAUUGUGGGCACAUGUGAAAGUAAACUUUAGUUAUUUAUACCUAAGGUUUAAUAUAUUUAAUACUUGCCAUAUAUUGUUUUGUUUUUAUUUUCUUACUCAUCAAAGAUAUUUAAAUUAUGUUAGAAAAGAUAUUCAUCAAAAUAAUUACUGAUAUAUACCAUGAUUUCUUCCUCGUGUAUUUGCAUAUGGUAAAUAAUAUUAUCUUAUGAUGUCUAAAAUAUUUAUUACCAAAUUUAAAUUAUACAUGUUUAAUAAGGAUAUUAAUUUCAUAUUAGAUAUUUAUCCUUAAGGUUUUUAAUUGAAAUUAUAAAAGACAAUUUUUAGAAUUAAAAUAUAUACACAUCAAUUUAUUAUAAACUAUGACAAAUUAGAUUAUUUCCUAAAUUGUAACUUUCAUAAUGUUAUAGUAUAUAUUAUCCCUUCCAUUGAACAAAGUUGAAUUAUAGUUUAUAGUACAGUCUGCUGUCGUAUGAUUUUUCUUUUUUUAUCAAAUGCUGUCGAAUGAUUUGAUGCUUCAGAUUUAGCAAAUUCUAAAAUAUUUUAUAGCUCAGCCCUUUUAAGCUUCAACUUAAAUUAUUUGGUACUUACACAAAGGUAUAUCAUUAAAUAUUUUGGUAAAAAAUCAAUUUUGAUAGUCCUAAAAAGAUUGAUAAAUUCUAAACCUCAAGUGAAGCUCACCCUAAAAUUUUCGUUCAUUAGCUCCUUCAAAAUUUGGAAGGAAAAAGAAAAUUGUGAUCUGUGUUAAUCAUGCCGAUCCAACUGUUGAAUAACUGCGAAGAGAUGUGAUAAUUUGUACAGCCACAAAGGCCAAGUCUAACAUAAAUGAGUAGAAGGCUUACUACCUUAUCCUCAUAAUGUUUUUCUAAUAUUUUAGAUUAUCUUUAAAAUUAAUAUAUAAAUCAAUUCCUAACAAUAUCAUAAUAAUAUUCAUUAAUUUGUUGUAUUAACUCAUCCACAAAGACUAAUUCGAUUAGUAAAAGAAAUCUCUCAUUUCGAGAUAAGCUAAAAGACGUGGCAAACAGCUAUCAUGAUUCAUAAAAAGAGGCACCCAAUUGAUUGAAUUGACCUAACAGCUACUAUUGCAAGCAAAGCAGGCAUCGAGUGUUCCACGACUCCUUUUCAGUACUUGACCGACCCCACAAGAUUGUAAUUUUUGAAAAGAAGAAAAAGGCAACGCAAGACCCAGUAAAUGAGCAGUAAAUUCCCAAUUUCCCAUUGUGACUUCCAAAUCAUUCAUUUCCAUUCCACAAUGUGAAGAGUAAAAGCGGAUAUAUGCUCAGAGCAGAUAGUAUAGAGCAUUCAGGAGCACAAAGAAGCUAAAAUAAAAUUUUAAAAAAGAAAAGAAAAAAAAAACUGAGUACAUGGACGAUCGAGUUAAAACAAAGGCAAGAAUUGCCUAAGUAGCACCAAAUCUUCUUCUAUCAAACACAUCAAAUCGGUAGAAGUUUCAUUUUGAAUUGAAACCCUAAAUUGGCAAAUUAUAUAAUUGAAAGUAAGAGCCCGGCUGACUCUCAGUCUCUCACUACUGCUGUGGCUUUUGUUGUUGCUCCUCCUCGUCACGCUUCGGUGCUUCUUUAAUAUCAUCAGCCCCGUCAUCCUAAUUAAUUUUGUAAUGAAAUUAGUAUGGGUUUAUUUAGAGGAAAAUAAGGGAUUUCUUUAUCUUAGUAGGCGAAAUCAAUUUACCUGCAUAUCGGAGGUCCAGAGAGUGAGAUUGUCACGGAGGAGUUGCAUGAUGAGGGUGCUGUCUUUGUACGAUUCCUCGCCUAGAGUAUCCAACUCAGCUAUCGCUUCAUCAAAUGCCUGACCGAAGAAAAAAACAGCAAACACGUUGGCAAAUCUAGAUUUAUGAACAAGUUACUUUUAUUCAGGGGGAAAAAGGAUAUCGGUGAUCAACCUGUUUGGCGAGAUUGCAAGCGCGAUCGGGAGAAUUGAGAAUCUCAUAGUAGAAAACAGAGAAAUUGAGUGCCAGUCCAAGUCGAAUCGGGUGAGUAGGAGCCAACUCGGCGUUGGCAAUGUCCUAAUAAACACAAAAAGUUAAAACAGAAAAAAAAAAUAUAGGAAAAGAAACCAAACUGAUGUUCAAGAAAAAUGAAAUGAAGUUUUGAAAACCUGAGCAGAUUUGUAGGCAGUGAGAGUACUCUCAGCAGCUUCCUUCCGUUCAGCUCCAGUCUUGAACUCGGCCAAGUACCUGUGGUAAUCUCCCUUCAUCUUAAGAUAGAAGACCUUGGAAUCUCCAGAGGAAGCCGAGGGGACAAGCCUAGUGUCAAGGAGCUUCAAGAUCCCGUUACAGAUCGAAGUAAGCUCGGACUCGAUCUUGGCCCGGUAAUCACGGAUCGUAGCGACGUGGUCAUCGUUACCACGGCUCUCCUCUUUCUGCUCAAUGGAGGAGAUGAUGCGCCAGGAAGCACGGCGAGCACCGAUAACAUUCUUGUAAGCGACGGAGAGGAGGUUCCUUUCCUCGACGGUGAGCUCCUCGUUGUCGGCGGAGGCAGAGACUUUCUCCAUGAACUCAACCAUUUCCUCGUAGCGUUCGGCUUGCUCGGCGAGUUUCGCCAUGUAGACAUUUUCCUCGCGGGGUGAAGAAGUGGCGGCGGCGGCCAUUGUCGAUAGGAAUCAGAUAGAGAGAAAGGGAAAAGGCAGAUAGCGAAAGAGAUGGUAGGUUUUAAAAAAUAUUAGAUCUGAGAUUUCGGGAGGGAGUUUUGAGGGGGUGGGAGAAGUGGGAGGCGAUGAUUGCGUUGAAGGAGGAGGGCCGAUGAUUAUCAAAUCUGGACCGUCGGAUUAACUGAAAUUAUUUUAUACCGAAUUAACUAAUUAAUAGAAACAAAUCAAACAAACAUGACAAAGUACUUUAGUCCACGUAGCCACUAAAUCAAAUUUUAAUCUAAAUAUUAAUCAACUUAGACUUUAACUAAAUUUAUUAAUCUUAUACUAAAUUAAUACAUCUAAUUUCUUACUUGAUCGAACCAAACAAAGCUUAAUAACACAAUCAACAAGUAUGCCAAUUUCAAACACAUACACUAACCUUAAAUCAAGUAGUAAGUAGCAAGAAAAAUUAACAAGACUGCAGCAAAUUGAAGCCAAUGGUCGGCAAAGAAUGUUAGCACGGGUGCAGCAAAUUAGAGUCAAGAUGGACGACAGUUAGCAGCAGUACUGAUUUGGAGAGCUAAUUGAAGCCUAAUGAUGAAUGAAAAAUUUUAGCAAAUAACUGCUGGUCGGCAAGCACACAGUAGCCAAUUGAAAAGCAAAAACGCAGUAGCUUGUGCCAAGAAUUGGCGUUGCAAAGGAAGCAUUUUGGUGGGUGCAACAAUUGCCUUAAUUGUAACAGCCCAUUUUCAAUGAAAUCAGAAUAGUGAUUUCGAGAUCACAAAUCCGAGUUAGAAAGUAAAAUUAUUUUAAUAUUAUUGCAUGGUUUGCAUUAUGAUGGGAAUGAUGUAUGAAAAUUUUGUUGAGAAAAUUUUAUCAAUUACAUGCUUAAUUAUAGAAAGGACCAAAUUGCAUAAAAUGAAAAAGUUGAAUUCUAAUAGCUAGAGGGAUUAAAUAGCUAUGGAAUUUAAAACUUGAUAUCUUUAUAUGGAAAUUAGACCAUUAAAUGGAGUUAGUAGAUAAUUAUAAUGACUCAUCCAUGAAAAUUCAAGAAAAAAAAGGAUGAAAUUGAAAAGUUGAAAAAUUAAAAGAUGAUAAGUUAAUUAAAUGAAUAAAAUAAUUUUAUUUUCAUCAUUUUCUCCAAAUUUUCUAUGGAAACCCUAGCUAAGAGAAGGAAAUUCAAGUAAGCUUAAUUGGGUAAGUAAUCUUGUUCUGUUUUUAAUAAUUUUUAUAUUUCUGAUAUCGCAAUAAUUUAAUCUAGCUAUUUUAGGGAUUAAUUUGCAAAGUUAUCAAAGUAUUAAAACUUUUUCAUGGAUCAAUAUGCAUGAAUUAUGAAAUUUAUGAUAAAAAAUGAAAGGUUGUUGAUAGAUAAACAACUUUUCCUUUUCAUGAAAUUGUGAUUUAGGGACUAAACUGAAAAGAUGUAAAAUUCAUGAAUUUUUUUUGUGAAAUACAUGAGCUGUAAAUGUUAUAUGAAAAAUUCGGUUAGGCUUGGAAUAAGAAUUAAAUUGCAUAAAUUUCAUUUUCCGAGCCUAGGGACGAAAUUGGAAUUAAUCAAAAGUAUAGGGGCAAAAUGUUACUUUUGCCUAAAAUGUGAACUGGAUUGAAUUGAAUAUGAAAUGUGUUAAAUUUAUGUUAAAUUCACUUAUAUAGAUCCGGAAAGAUCAAAUAAGGAGUUAGAUCGAGGAAAAGAAAAACUGUCGGAUUAGUAGAUUUUCGUAUACAAGCAAGUGUCAAGGUAAGUUUGUGUAACUAAAUUAUGUAUAUUUAUAUGUUUGAAUUGAAUGUUGUAUAUGUGAAUUGUAUAAUUGUUAGAUGUAUGAAAUUUAUUUCAUAUUCGGCAAAACUCGAUAAAUGAUAAGUCUCGUUUGACUAAAUGGAAUUCGAUGGAUAUAGGAUUUUCCUGAAAUGUUUGUGGUCCUACAUAUGUUGCGGACACACCAUAUCUCUUAUGAGCGUCUCAUUAUAAGCCAUCUCGAGCUUCCUGUUAUAUAGUUCCUGCGAGUAUCCUGAUCGAUAUUGAUUCUGCAUGUGUUACGGACAUACCGCAGCUCUUUGUGAACGUCCUGUUAUAUGAUCGGUAUUGAUCCUGCAUAUAUUGCGGAUAUACCGCAGCUCUUUAUGAGCGUUCCGAUAUAUGGCUCUUCAUGAGCUUCCCCAUAUGACUCGCUUUAACUUCCUGAUAUAAGGCUAUCCGGAGCUUCUUGAUAAUAGCUCUUCGGAGUUAUCCGUUAAGCUCACAUGAGCUUUCUGUUUUAAACUCUAAUGAGUUUCCUGUUAUAGCCAGAAUAAGCUUCAUGUUACAUGGCUCACGUGAGCUUCCUAUUAUAGCCCAGAUAAGCUUCCUGUUACAUCAAAACAGGCUUUUAGCGGCACUUUAAGGAAAUCACCAUUAAAGAUUGAGCAUUAGCAAACGCCGCUAAAAAUGAGCAUUAGCGGCAUUUUUCGAAAAAAAGCCACCAAAAACCUAAGCCCAAAGGCGUCGUUUUCUGACCUUUCGAGGCUUUAGCGGUGUUUCUGAAAAAGCGCCGCUAAUACUCGGGGCUUUAGCAACGUUUUUUGAAAAAGCGUCGCUAAUGCUUGGGGUUUUAGUGGCGUUUUUGAAAAAGCGCCGCUAAAAACAUUUUAUCUUAAUUGGUUUAUUUAUAUUAAUUAUUUAAAUAUUCAAUUUAUUUCUAAUUGAAUAUUUAAAAUCUUCAAAAAAAAAUAAUGACACGUAGAAAUAAUUUGAAAUAAAACACAUGGAAAAUUUAAAAUACUAUUAUUCAAAAUAAUUUUAAAGUUUUUUGGGUACAUGAUUACUAAUUGUUUUUUAAUUUAUAUAUUAAAAAAUUUCUUAUACAAUCGUAAAAGAGAUAGUAUUAAUUUUAAAAUAUUGAAUUAAUUAUCACUAUAGUUUAGGGUUUUUGGUUUAGGGUAUAUGAUUAAUUUAAGAUUUAAGGCCGGUUUAGGAGUUACUAGUUUAAGGUUUAGGGAGUAUGGAUUUAGGGAUUAUGGUUUAAGGGUGGGGAUUAAAGGUUUAUGGGUUAGGGGUUUAGGGGUUAGACGUUAUGGGGUCAAUAGUUAGGAAUUUAAGGUUUAUGGAUUCAGGGGUCGGGUUAUGGUUUUGGAUUUAGAUUAAUUAGUUUUUUUAAUUUAUAUUUUAAAUAUGUUAUUAUAUAAUUGUAAAAGAGAUAGUAUUAAUUUUAAAAUAUUGAAUUAAUUAUGAUCAUAGUUUAUGGUUUAUGGUUUAGGGUAUAUAGUGUAGGGUUUAAGGUUUAAGAGUUACUAUUUUAAAUUUUAUGGAUUAUGGGUUUAGGGAUUACGGUUUAUUGUUUAAGGGUUGGGAUUUAAGGUUUAGGAGUUAGGGGUUAGGGGUUUAGGGUUUAUGUUUUAUGAUUCAAGGUUUAAAGGGUAGGGGUUAGGGGUGUAGGGUUUAGAUUAAUUAGUGUUUUUUAAUUUAUAUAUUAAAUAAUUUCUUAUAUAAUUGUAAAAGAUAUAAUAUUAAUUUUAAUAUUAUAGUUUAAAUUAUUUAUGAGAUAAUAGAUAAACUUUAUAUAUAUUAAAUGGUUUAGGAUUUAAGGUUUAGUUGAGAUUUAUUAAAUGAUGAAAUUUUAUUAAAAUAUAUGGUAUUUAUUUUGAGGGUACUUAGUUUUUUUUUAUAAAAAUAUAAUUUAUAAAAAAUAGUAAUAAUAAAUGUUUUAUAAAAUCAGGUAAUUAAUAAUUUUUAGUAGACAAAAUAAAAUAUUUUUAGCAAAGUAAAACGGGGUUGUUUUGUUCAAAAUGAAAUAAUUUUUUGCGGCGUAAGAUAAACAAUUUAAAAAAAACGCCACAAAAGUCAUUUUAUUUAAAAAAAAUGGCGCUGUUUUCCCCAAAUUUCCCUGCCUAAAAUCUCCAAAAGGAUCUCCGCUACUAAAGCAAAUAAGGUUUUUGGAAUUCCUUUUGUGCUUUCUCUUUGUCAAAAAAGACUUCUGUUCUGUUCGGUAUUUGCAGGGAAAAAAAAAGAUAAUGUGUUUGGUAUUUUUGUUUCCGUUAUAAAUUUUUUUAAGGAAAGGGAGAUGAAGAAAAAUAAGAAAAAGGGGAAGAAAAACGCUGCAACUAUGGGUAAUUUAUCCCGACUUUACCCUACUUUUUAAACCAUGGUAUGAGAUAGGCUGGUCUCCCAAUAUUUCCUUAAUCAAAGGGAGGAAAACCCUAAUUUUGUCUCUCCCAAGAGAUGAAAUGAAGGGAAAAAUGGUGUUUUACUUCAAAGCCCGGGCAGAAGCUAGCGAUUACAAUAUGGCUUCAUCGAAGAUAUCUGGUAAAUUCUUAUUUGAAUUAUUUUUCCAGAUACAUUGAAAAAUUUUGAAAUUUUGCCAUUAUUGCUGAAAUGGCCUGAAUUUUCAGUAAUGUCGAAAUGGUGAUUCGAGAUCAUUAAAUCUGACAAAUGAGUAGAAAAUAUUAUUAAUUUAGUGAGAAUAAGUAAAUGUGAAGUUGGGAAAAUUUUUGAAAUAGUGAAUAGUGUACUAGGAAUAAAUAUUAAAAUAAUUAAAAUUGAAAACGAGGUAUCGAGACCUCAAAGAUUUUAAACCGAGCCAUAAGUAUUUUUAGAAAUAUUUUUAGAGUGUCAUUGAGUUGGUAUUAAAGUUUCGUUAGAAAAUUUUAACGUUUGGAUAGUCAAUUAACUAAAAACAACUAAAUUGAAAAUAGUGUAAAAUUUGUUAAAUUGUGAUUAAAUAGCUUAAGUGAUUAAAAAGGAGGGAUUUAAAAGGCAAUUAGGCCCAAAAUAUAUGGGCUGGACGGUUGGGCAAGAUAUAUCUGGAAAAGUGAUGUAAUAAGGGUAAAAUUGGAAAUUUUGUAAAAGUUAACAAAUAAAAAUCUCAAUUAAAAGAGUUUCUAGGAAAUUCUUCAUAAUUAUCAGCCAAAAAACGCCAUUGAAGAGUCCCUCCAAGCUGGUUUUUCAUAUAUUUGAAUCAUGUAAGUUUAAUUCUUGAUUAUUUCUUCUACUUUUUGUGGUUUUGAUACUUUUACAAUUAGGUCCAACUAAUUGUUUCAUUAGUUAUUGAUCUUAUGGCUGAUUUUGAAAGUUACCAUUUAUGAGUACUGAAUUUUUAUGAUGAAUAAGCAUGGAAUUAAAGCUUUGAUUUUGUUAUAUGAUGAUUCUAUUAAAGUAAUUUUGAUAGAAAUUGAUUUUAGGGACCUAAUUGUGAAAAAGUUGGGAAUUAGGGUUUGAUGUUGCGGUUUUGAAUAUGAAAGGCUAUGUAGUAGUCUAAAAUAGUUGGAAAAGGUGUUAAUUGAGAAAAAUUAGAUCAAUUGAGGGGUUAAUUGAGUAGGGACCAAAUUGUAAAAACUGUAAAGUUUGGGGUAAAAGUGUAAUUUCGAAAAUUUAAGGGCAUAAAUUGUGAAAUGGAUUAGAAGAGAAUUAUAUGCUGAUGAAUGAAUAAAUUUUUAUUUUAGAUCGAGAACCCGAAGCAAGCCGAGGAAAAGAAAAAGUAGUUGAUUAGUCCCUGAACUUUUACAAAUUCUGCAAAUCGACCCAGGUAAGUUCAUAUGGCUGAAAUUUAAUGAUUAAAUGUUAAUUUCAUGAAUUAUAUAAUGUAUGAUGAAAUAUAUUUAGUGUUGAAAAGAGAGUAAAAUAAAAAUGCGAAACUCGAAUAAAUGAUCAAAUUAAGCGGAACGCCGAAUUUGAGUACUUCUGAUCAAGAGAUAAAGUGAUAAGUGGUAGCUUUAGCUACACUUAUCUGAUCAAGUGAAAAAGUGAUAAGUGCUAGAUAAGUGCUAUACUUAUCUGAUCAAGUGAAAAAGUGAUAAGUGUUAUACUUAUCUGAUCAAGUGACAAAGUGAUAAGUGGUAGCUUAGCUACACUUAUUUGAUCAGGGACAAAUGAUAAGUGAUCAUACGUAAGACCAUAGUUAUACUAUGGCAAAGUGAAAGUGAAGUACUCGAUUUUCCGUAACCGUUCCUUAAUUUUGAUCACGGAUGGUAAGUGACAAAUGGGCUCAAAGGAAUUAUGGUAAAAGAAUAAGUAGUAGUGAGUUUAUAGGAAUUCACCAAAGAUUGUGGUUGACAGGUAAACUUAGUAAUGGUGUAUAUUGUAUAAAUGUACAAAUGUUUGGUAAGAUUUAUGUUUUAUGCCUAUGAAAUUACUAAGCUUUUCUAUAAGCUUACAUGUGUGUGUUUAUUGUUUUUGUAGAUUAACGUAUUUAUACAUUCGGAGGAUCAAAUCUACAUCGAGAAUCACACUAUCCAGAUAUAUUCCGGUAGAUUUUGUUAAAUAACUUUUUGAAUUUAUAUGGCAUGUAUAGGGAAUUGAAGUAAAAAGUAAUAGAAUGAAUGACUAAGUAUGUAAAGUAAAUUUUGAAUGUUAUGGUUGUGUUAGAUAUCGAAAUAUAUACAUGUUUUUAGUUUGAAAUGGUUGAUUGGUUGAACUUCAUUAGUAUUUAAAUAAAGUAGAUGAAAUACUGGAAUUGGUUGUGAUUUGAAAUUUGCAGGGAAGGUUAGACAAUUAUAAAGGGGUUAUAUUGAAUUUUUUAAAAAAAUUUCAAUGGAAUAGUUUUUGGACAGCAACAUUGAUGUAACUUUGAAAAAUCACUAAAAAUAGUGGAAAUAGAAUUAGAAGUUGAGUGAGAUAUGAAAUUAAAGCUGAAUGAGUCUACUUUCACAUGAAAGAAGUGGAGUAAGAAAAAGAAUUAUAUACUUUUAGAUAUUUGAAUUUUAGUGAAACAGGGCAAGAAUGUUUUUGAAGUCCCCUGUUCUGACUUUAGAAAUUCAUUAAAAAUUGUACAGAAGGAAUUAUGAGUUAUAAUUUAUAUGUAUAGAUUUCUUAAUGAGUCUAUUUUCAGUAGAAAUAAGUGUAAGCACCAUAUGAAUUCUGUAAUAAGAGAUAAUUAAAUUUUAGUGAUGAGUGGUCAGGAUAGUCUAUCAGUGAAACAGGGGAGACUUCAACUAAUAAACUGUACUAAUUGGCUAAACUAAAAAUUCUGAAAAAUUUAUGGUGAAUAGAUAUAUGAGUCUAGUUUUAGGGAAAAUUUACGGAUCUAAAUUUCAAUUUUCGUAGCUUGAAUUAUAAUUAUUUUAGUGACUACUGCACAGGUGGACAGCUUUAUUAUGAAUGAUGAAAUUAAAUUUGAAAGUAAAUUUUUAUGCCCCGAACUUUUAAGUUAAGUUAAGUAACGCCUCAUGGUCGACUCCGGCAACGGUAUUGGGUAAGGGGUGUUACAGUUGCUAUAGAUUUCGAUAAGAAAACAGAGAUUGAAACUAGGUUGUUCGAUAAAGACAGAGAUUUUCAAGCUGGUUUAGGUUUUCUUUGUUUCCCUUAUUGUUCAACAGAGCUUGAAGAUCAUAACUGGGAAGAUCAGACAAUACAUUAUAAUCGAUUGUUCCAGUGGAAACCAUUUCGGGAAUUUUAUAGUUGAAGGAAGAAUAAUCCGAAGUUGAUGAAAGAUUAUAAGACACUUUUUAAACCAAAAUGAACCAAGUUUUGAUUGAAAUUAAAACUCAAAAAUGCAAUAAAAAGACCAAAGACAAAUUGGUGUCCUUUUUUUUGGUUAUUAAGUUAUAAAACAGACAAAUUUUCUUUUGGGUGUUUGGUUGAUGAGAAAAUAUAAGAAAAUUUGGUAAAAGAUUUUUGAUGAGAAAAAAAUUAUAAAUUUAUAAUUGUUAACUAGUAGAUUGAGCUAGGUAAUUGUGGUGGUGCUAAUUUGCCUGCAAUCAAAGAGAAGUAUGGUCAGUACAUGGUGAGUAGGUGCUCCACCUUUACGGCGCAAACAUGUUUACAACAUUGCUACAUAGUUCACUUAAGUUUUUAAUAAGAGCUUGAUCUGAAUUUCAGACCUUGCUUUAGGUGACGAUGAGUGGGAAUGGGCAAGUUCCAUUACUGGCUAUUUCAAGCUAUUUGUUGAAACCAUUAAUGUCUUCUCUACUAACAAAAGUCCUACUGCAAAUGUACAUUUUUUUCUGAAAUCUAUCAUGUUUACAUACUGUUGAUUGAAUUGUGCAAGAGCCCUAAUACUUUUCUUAGUUCAUUGGCAGGGAAGAGGAAAACAUAGUUCUAUAAACACUGGAGCAAUGCAAUUUAGCUUUGGUAGUAUCAUCUAUAUCUUACAUCCCCCAACUGUCGAAGCUCACUGAAUUGAUAUGCACACAAGAUUGGUUGCAGAUGCAAUCAGAUGGUAUGUAUGUGCAUUAUCUUUGAUUUUUUCACACAAUAUCAAUUUUGGUUCAUUAUAUAUCACUAAAAAUAUGUCGUUGGUAUUAAUGUAUUAGAUCCUAGUCCAUCGUCAAGCAUUUAUGCUAUACCCAUUCAUAUGGCUUUGAAGAACACUGUUUCUAUGUUGUGGAUUUCAUUAGUGUCCUUAUUUUGAAGGCUAUUUCAUGCAAGGUACGUACAUGGAUAUGUGGUAAGCCCAUAAGAUGAUGUUUGACCGCAUAAGAAUUUAGUCUUGGUCUCAAAUCAUAAAUUGGAUGAAUAACUAUUGUAAUGUUCUUAUGUCAAUAUGGGCAAAUAGCUAAUUGCUUCUUAGUAUUUUGAUUUGUUACUAUACAUAUUAGGAAUAAUAAACAAUCAACCCUUUGAUAUGAUACAAUAGUUAUUAUAGUAGUACUUAACAAAAAUUUGGUUCUCAUUCUUCACUUAACAAGUCCAGUGGCACAUACAUAUGUAAACUAGGAAACUGAAACAAGAAAGAAAUGCAAAGCCAAAGCACAUUGAUACUUUUGAAUGAUAGUUAUAAAUGAAUAAUAUGCCUGACUUGGCAUUUAUAAAACUCACAUGCUUGAAGGAUAGAACAGAAAUUGUUGUUAGAAUUGGAUUGUCAGCUUUCAAGAUUCAGUAAAAAAAAAUCAUUUGGACACUUGGAAGAAUUCAUUGGUUUCAUUGCUGUAAUCUCUCUUAUUCAAUAUCUAAUUCAUUUCCAUGGUUGAGAUAGCUAAGUUGUCAAUUUCCUCGAGUAUUAAUUUUUGCAUUCAUGUUAUUUCUCAUUCAUAUUUAACUUGUUAAUAUCAAUUUUUGUUUUAAUGCACUAUAAUUAUUUUCCCAAUUCUGCAGGGUACAUGAAGAUUGGAUAACCAGGAAUGUAGCAGAUGUAGUUUGCAUGUUUGCACGGCAAGUAAAUGAAUUGAUUCAAUCUCUAUCAUCGGCAAAAGAUAUACUUCCCCCUUCAUAUAACUUUUAUGAUCUUUCAACUAUUUAUCUGUGUUUUUAUAUGGGAUGAUGAAUAUAUCACAUGCUUCAGAAAAAGGAUAAACGUGGUGAAAAAUAUCGAUUCACUAUAAAAUUGAUUUGAGAACUGGCGUUUUCUUCAUUUGUAUGUUGUUUCUAUGUUGGAAUGGAUGAAGGGUGGGACGCUUGGCCUCCAUCCUAUAGUAAAAGUAUCUAUUUUUUACAUUUAUUUAUUAGCAAACAACAGUGAUAUUAUGCUUUAUUUUGUUGUUUUCCUAUCAGUUGCAUUUACUGCGGUUAGUAAAAUAGGAUUUUCUUCUUAGGAUCUUAGUUUCUUCAUUUGUAUUAGACUCAACAAUGGCUUGCAUUGCAUUGGUGUUGAUUUUACCUAAAUUUCGAGGUUUGUAAUUUUUAAUUUUUAUUAAUUAUUUACGUUUUCUCACUUUUAUUAAUUUUUAUUAUUAUUUAAGCUUUCUUUAUUUGCCUUCUUUUAUCAUUUUUUCUUGUUGUUUUUAGCUUCGAAGAUCUAGUCUGCCAAUCUGGACCUGGUUUUUGGCCUUCUUCCGUCUAUGCUUAAUCAGCAAUUUAUCCCAUGACACACAGUGCAGCCCAGGUUUUACUUCAUUCUUUUAUAUAUUUUACAUUCAUACAAGAGUAAUUUUUGUCUUUUUACAUUUCAAAUAAAACCAUUUUUAUUUUAUUUUAUACAUGUUGAUAUUUGAACUCAUGAUAUUAGCAUAUAUAAAAUCGUAGGUUUACCACUACAGCAAAUGUUUCACCUCACUAAAUUAGUGUCAAUUGUACAUUGAGUUGGUUAGAGAAAUAACUUAUAUUCUUACAAUAAUUCUUUUGUCUUUUUUCAUUUUAAAUUAUAAAUGUUGAGAUUUGAAACCAUAGCAUUAACAUAUAUAAAAUCUCAAUUACUAAUAUUAUUACACAAUCAAUGCUUCAUUUUAAAUUAUAAAUGUUGAGAUUUGAAACCAUACCACUAACAUAUAUAAAACCAUGAACCAGAUGACAAAGGGUUUCUCAAGGGUAGAAGAAUCACUUAAUGACUGAUGUGCCUGAUGCCCGAAAACAGUUUCUAGCAUAUGUUGAAAAAGCAAAGACUACCGGAUGCUUGGAUUCAUCAUUUCAUUAUGGCAAUUCCAUAAACGGUAAAGAGAAUGGGGCCUGCCAAUAAUAACGAGUAAGUUUUCUCAUCCUUCGUUGUACCCCAUUUUAUAUAACAUUAGAUAUACUAAAAUGGUUAUGAUGUUGGGAUUUGAAUCCUAGAUGCCACGUCUUGAAGGUGUUUGCAUGAGCCAUAGGUUGAAUGCAAAUUUUGAUUCUAAUUUAUUAAUCCCGAUCAUUACACUCUUAUUAGAGCUGACACGCUCAAUUGUUUUUACUCUUAAAAUUAAUCACUCGUAGGUUUACAGGGAAGUUGAGUUCCUUCUAGCUGUGCUCAAUUGUUUUGUUUUUGCCAUUACAGCUGCUGUAGUUAUGUAAAGAGAAUGGGGCCUGCCAAUAACAAUGAGCAUGUAGGCACUAAAUCUGCAGUUCAAAUUCGAAGCCAUGCUCAAAAGUUUUUCUCUAAGGCUCAUUGCUUUGAGUUCAUUACAAGAUUUCCUUGAUUAAGUAAAUGUAUUAUAUCUUUUAUUACCAAGAUUUACUUGAUUAAGAAAAUGCAUUGUAUUUUUUAUUACCUUGCAAUGUAUAUAGUCAUAGGCAGGUUCAAAUAGUCAGCAUGUUUAUCAUAUGUAUUAUUUAUUUUAGUUUUGAUUCUAAAUUUUUAUUUUUACUUUAAUAUUUACGAAAACUUAAGUUCUAACUUUUGGAUUUUAAUUGUGUUAUUAAUUUAUUAUUUUAAAUUCUAAAACUAAAUUCAUUAAUUUUUAUAUUUAGUUUUAAAGUUAAAAUUUUCAUAGAAAAUUUAAUUUAAAUCAUAUUUUUUUAUUUAUCCUUAAAAGUAUAUUUAAAGUUCAAAUUUUAAAAAUAAAACAUAAUAUAAUAGUUAUCAUAAAAAUAAAUAUUAUUUGAUUAAAAUAUUUUUUUUAAAUGUUAUAUUUUUAGCGGCGUUUUUGCAUGAAACGUCGCUAAAGGUCAUGGUUUUUAGCGGCGUUUGUGAAAAAAGCGCCGCUAAAGGUUGACAAAAGCGCCGUUAAAGGUCAUGAUCUUUAGCGGCGUUUGUGAUAAAAGCGUCGCUAAAGGUCAUGGUCUUUAGCGGCGUUUUUUCACAUAAACGCCGCUAUAGCGGCACUUUUUGCGGCGCUAUCACUUUUAGUGGCGCUUAACAGCGCCGCUAAAGGCCUAAAAAAAGCCGCUAAAAGUCUAUUUUGCUGUGGUGGCUUCCUGUUAUAUGGCUCAGAAAAGUGCUUUCUGAUUAUGUGCUCUAAUGAGUACCUCCGAAUAUGAAUUGACGAAUUAUAGUUUUGUACACUUCGAGUAUAGUACAUGUGUAUUCAUCGAUAUUUUAAAUAAAUUCAAUAGACAAAGUUCCGACAUGGACUAAACUGAACUUGAGAUGAUUUGUUAUGAAAAUGUACAUGUUUUAUGGGAAUAUGAUAUGGAAAGUAUAUAUAUGAAAGUUAUUACAUAAUGAGCUCAUUCAUGUUUUUUGACAAUUGUGUGAAUUAUAAUGACUAACAUGUUGAUGAAAUUGGGUGUUUAGGCUAAUUGCCAAAUUUCUUUGGGUGAAAUUUUGUAUGCUUACCUUUAAUGCAAAUGAAGGGUAAGUUAAUUUUCCGUUAUACGAACUUACUAAGCAUUAAUGCUUACUUGUUUUAUUUUCUUUGUUUUAUAGUACUCAGAAGCUUGUAAAGAUUGGAAGCAGGUCAGAGCAAGAUCACACUAUCCUUCAACUCAUUUUAGUAUAAAUAGUGAAAUUACUUUUGGUAUAAUGGCAUGUAUAAGCUAAGUUAGGUCAAAUAUUGGUAUAUACAUGUUUUGGUUGUAAAUAGCCAUUGAAAUGACUUGUAAUGGUCAUGUUUUGAUAUAUAGAUAUAUAUUGUAUUAUCAUGUUUGAGGUAUGAAUUUGAUUAUGCAUAUAUGCAUUUGGUAUCUAGUUAAGUAUAAGUUUGGAAUGACUUAAUAAUAAAUUAUCAAUUGGGAAGUCCUAGGACACAUUAAUUGUAUGUGUAAAAUGUCAAGUUUAAGACUUGGGUUUGGCUUGGUUUAAAUGUCUUGAAUUGGUUGGUGAACAUGUUAAAAUGUUGAUGUAGGUGGAAGACAAGUUUGGGUGAGAAAUAAGGCUUGAAAAUGACCUUAUUUUGUCCACAUGGGUGGAGACACGGGCAUGUGCCUCAGCCGUGUGUCACACACAGCCAUGCACACAGGCGUGUGGUUUGACCAUGUGUCCCUUACAUCUUAAAAUUUGAGAAAUAGAAUACUCAGGUAGUUUCACACGGGCAAAGACACGGGCGUAUGUCUCAUUCGUAUGUGUCACACGACCUAACACACGGGUGUGUGACUUGGCUGUGUAAAUCUUGCACCUUAAUUAUGCAAGUCAGUAUGCUCACACGGCCUAGCACACGGGCGUGUGGCUCGGCCGUGUGACUAAGUCAGUAUACAACUUAAAUUGAGCACGGGCUGGGACACAACCAUGUGCCUCACAUCGAAUGCCCACACGGCCUGGGACACGGGCAUGUCACUUAGCCAUAUGAGCCACGCGGACGUGUGUCCCCUGCACUUAAAGAAAAUUUUGAAAUUUCGCAAAAAAUUCUCUAAGUUCCCGAUUUAGUACCGACUUGUUUCUAAUACGUAAACUGGGCCUCGAAGGUCCAUUUAAGAGACAAUAUGAUUGAAUAUGUUUAGUUUCAAAUAUGUAUAGUAAAUGAUAUGAAUUAACUAUAUUUGAUCUAUAAACUCUGGUAAUGCUCUAUAACCCUGUUUCGAUAACAAAUACGAGUUAGGGGUGUUACAUUUAUCGCUUCAACUUAAACCGGCUAUGUAACAGUAUUUGAGGCUAAUGGAAGCAAGUCAUGAAAGAGCAAUCAGCCACUUUUUUUGGAUUUUUGAGGCAAAUGGUGGAGCAAUUAGCAGCAUGUGGAAUGACAAUUCACAACAAUUUGAAUGGUACAAUGAGAUGGUAAAGCGGCAUUAAAUUAAGACUAAUGGGUGGGAAGAUUUAAGCCAAAUAGCAGCAGAUUUUUGAACAUGUUCACUCGGUAAUCCAAGGCUUAUUUGUACAACAAAGUGUAGCAGUUUUGGAACAUCAAACGGCGACCAAUAGUAGCUUGAUUUACAAGUGAGGAAUUUUUGGUAAAUGGCAGCAAAAUAGCGGCCUAGAUUGAAUGGCAAUUAUUGGAUCCAGGCAACAUAGCAAUACUUUGGAGCGACAAAACAAUGCAAAGUGCCAGCAAACUGAUUAAAGAAGGACAAAUUAAGAGAAAAAAAAACUUGCUAAUAUCCCUUUAAUAUUGGGGGCACUAAAGGGGGCAAUAAUUUAAGAGAUAUGGCAGCAGCAGUUUAUGAAGCAAAGUAAGCACCGAAUCAAGCCCAAUUGCGGCUUGCGGCAGACCAACAAACAAAAUAUGUUACCAUAAAAUACCAUGACAUGAAACAAAUUAGAGUAAAAAAAAAAAGGAUUAAGCAAUUCCAAAUAUAACAAAAUAUGCUUAACAAGAGCUAUAACGCAUAUAAGCGACCAACCAACAAAAGUUAUUCUCUAUGCAAGAGGUAAAUAUUAUUCCAAAGGCAGCUUACUUAUCUAAAAAGCACAAAAUUAAAACAUUUCUUUGGACUUGUAAUAUUUCACCGCCACCUUAGGCAAUAUAUGAGAUAUUUUCGAUGGUUUUGACAGUUUAAGGUUUAAAAAAUAAAAAUUAAAUAAAAGGUUAAAUCUUUUUUUAUAAAGUUAGAAGGUUAAAUAAGUCGUUGUAUCUUAUUUUUGGAUAAGUAAGUUUUUUAUUUUGGAUUUGUAUUCAAUGUAUUCUUAAUGGAUAUAUUUAUACAUUGGAAAUGAACCAAACAGUGAAACCUAGAUUUUAGCAAAUAAAUUGAGAAAACUGAAAAAUUGAUUCGAACCAAUAUAUUCAGUUCGAGUUUUGUAUUGUUCGUUUUGGUUUUAGGUUAGUGUUAUCAUCCGAAUCACACAAUUCGUUUUUGAUUUGGUUUGAACCUAAUCGGAUCAACUGAUUGGACCAGGAACCUAUCAAGAUAUCCUAGCCGCUGGACUAAAUUCUUGAAAACAAUGGUUGUUUGAUUGAAACAAACAACAUAUUAAAUUCUUGAAAACAAAAGUUAGAGGACUAAAUUUCAAAUGUAUGAAGUGUAGAGACCUAGAGUCAUGGUUGUUUGAACCUAAUCGGAUCAGCUGAUUGGAUCAGGAACCUAUCAAGAUACCGAUCCGAAGUGAGGCAUCAUACUUAUUAACUUGUGAACUAAUACAUACCAAUUGAACUAGGCAAACAAACCAGUUGAAUUGCUUUUUUUUUAAAAUUUUUUUAAUGAUUCAUUUAAUUGAAUUGUAUAAAUCAGUGGUCUAACCAAUUUGAUCACCAGUCUGAUAUAAUAUUCUGAUUCUAAAAAUGAUAUGAUAUUUUGAUUUGUUGAUAAAAUGUCAUUAUGAUCUUGGCAAUCGAGUACUAAGUUGAUUUUGCUUAUAAAAGGUCAUUCUGAGUUUGAUACGUGACGAUAAUCGUGCUGAAAUGAUUAUUAAUAAUUUUGAUAUUGAAAUUGAUGUAAUGAAAUAAUAUAUUGAUAUUAUUAAUAUUUUAACUUAAUGUAUUUGUUAUAUCUGACUAGUUUAAUAGUUUUUUACUUUUGAAUUCAAAUUAUGUUAGUACUACCGAGUAUUCAAUACUCAGCGUAUGAUUGUAUCUACUUUUGUGCGUAGACUUGACUUAGGUUCUUGGUGUGUUCGUGGUCUUGUUAGCAUCCAAGCAAUCGAUACUCAGCUUAGCCAUCAAUUAUAAUGUUUUCUUACGUUUGCUUAUUAGUGGGAUGUACCUAAGUCAUUAGAAAGUGUUUUAAAGUUUUUAUGUCAUUUUGAUUUAUAAAUAUGUUAAAGUUGUAUGCUUUGGUGAUCGGUUGAAUGAUUUUGGUUCCACUUAUCUUUUGAUAUAUAUAGAUAGAUAUAUAAAUCGAAAGAUAUGUUGGAGUAACGUUGGUUGAAUGGCUAGUUGUGUACAAAUUAGCAGUUAGUUUAAUUAAGUUAGUUGUGUUGGAAUAAAUGUCCUUACCUUUAGGCGUUGAAUGCAAUUAUACAAGUUAAGUAUGUGUGCAUUAGGUUGAUUUAUGCUAAAAUGGUUGUUGAGUUGGUACUGGUUGAAUUUCUAAUUGGUUUAAAUUGUAUUUAGUUAGUUCAACUAUUUAUUAACUAGUAUUGAAAUGAGAUAUAUGAAAUGCCAUGAUUCUAAUUUAUUGAUUAUGUUUUUACAAGUCAACUGGAUUUGUUUUAGCUUAACAUAACUUUAGGAUUAUUUAGGAAAUGUUUUGGCAUCGUUUGCUUGUUGGAACGUUUGUACUUUUGACAUUUUGGUAGGAUGGUAUCGAGACACUUAGAACAAAAAUGAUCAAUUCAUGCAUUUUUGGGUAAAUGUCUUGAGACAAUAAUUGCUAGCUCUCGAGGCAUGAACACCAUGGUCUCAAGAUGAGUAAACAUCGAACCUAAAUUAGUUUUUCUAUGUUCCAAGUCUCAAGACAAGGCCAUUGUUUCAAGACAUCAUAACAUCGAAAAGCAAAACAGGGAAUGCUUGUCUUGAAAUUUAAGGAGUCUUGUUUCGAGACAUGCUAAUAUCAAAGCUAAAAUUCUAAAAAUAAAAUGUAGUCUGUCUUGAGACAUGGAGAUACUUGUCUCAAGAUAUCCUGCUGAAAUUUGAUCAAAAGAGCUUGGAUUCGAAUUCUAACUCCAUAUUUGACCUCGUUUAACCCUAAAAUACCGUGUAUGAGAUCAUUUAGCAUUGUAAUGUCAUGUUAAUGUGUUUAAUUGUGAUUGUGUGGUGAUGAUUAUGAAUUAAUGACAAAUUGUUUGGAUUAUUAAUUUGAAAUAGUUUAAAUUGCCUCAACAAUAUAAUGUGACGUCACGCAUUAAGACCCGAUGAUCGGAUUAGUGUGGAGUGUAACAAAUUAGCAUUUGUUAUAUAAUCUAUGUAAUAACCAAAUUUUGCUCGGGCCCAAUGCCAAACAAAUAAAACCCAAACCAAAUAAAUAAAUAAAAGUCCAAAUUACAGCCCAUCAGAGCCCAAUUCAGACCAGCCCACUAUUCAAUCAGACCAGCCCAACAAAAAAACCCUAGUAGCCCACAGCCCAACUAAGCCUAAAACAUUUUCAGCAAAAGACAAAACCCUAGCUGCCAUGCUAGCCGCCGCUCCUGCCCUAGCCUCCGCCCACUAUCGAACGCCACCUCUGCCACCACCGUCAACCUCUGACACCUGCAAAAUAGCAAACAACACACAACAACAAAAAAGAAGAAGAUGACAGGGAAAAGAACCGAAUACAAAGGAAUCGAAAAUCAAUUCAAAGGUUUAUUUAUUGUCAUUUUAAUUUCUCCUUCAUUUUCUUGUUUAUUUCAUUUUUUAUAUACAUAUUCUAUAUGCAAAAGUAAAGUAAAAAAGAAAAGAAAGAACUUACCCCUUUUCGGGUUCGUGACGCCGUCGGGACGGUCGAGGGAGCCACUUCCGAGGAUAGGUGGCCGAAAACUGAAAGGUUUCUUGAGUUUUUCGGGGUUUUUGUUAAUGUGUCGGGGUUUUCGAACUCAGAUUUGGGUUUAGGGGGUUUGAAAGGAUUGAACUGGAGAUUUUAGCCUUUUUCGGCCACCGCAUACAGUGGCACCGUCGCUUGCGAUCAGCGGCCGACACGGUGGCCGGUGAUCGAAAGUUGACCGGACCCUAGACGAAACUCAGGGGUUGAGGGGAGAGUUUUGGAAAGUUUUUUUUAAAGGGUUAAAAUGAAUUUUUUGGAAAUUUUGGGGUUUUUAUAGGGUACCGAAACGGUACCGUUUUGGAGUGGUCUCAGAUGCUCAAAACGGCAUCGUUUUGGCCUAACCCGAUCCAGCCAACCCGACCCGCUAGCAGGAUCCUCGUAUUUUUGCAGAAUGGUCUAUUUACGCAUUCAGCCCUUCCGCUUUUUAAUUAUUUUGCAAUCAAGUUUCCUUUAGUUUUUUUUAAUUUGGCCCUGGAAUUUCUUUCAGAUUUCAAUUCGAUCCACCUUAAAGCUGUGCGUUUUGGAGGGACGAGAUUAUUUCUCAUUUGGUCCCUCUUUGUUAUUUGCGCAUUCAAUGUGGUCCUCCCCUUUUAUUUAUUUUCGAAUCCGCCCCUUUUUUUCAUUUUUAUUUCAAUUUAGUCUAUGUUUUUUAGCUAUUUUAUUAUUUAAUUAAUUAUUUUAAUGUUUUAUUAUUAUUAUAUUAUACCAUUAAUCUUGUGUUAUUAUUAUUAUUAUUUAUUCAUUUGUACCUUUUAAAUUUUAAAUUUUGUUAUAUAUAUAUACAUGCAUACAUUUUAUAAUAUAUACAUAUACGUACAUAUUACUUAAUUCUUAUAAAUAUAUAUACAUACUUUUAUAUAUUUUCUAUGCUUCAUAAUUUUCUAUACAUACUUAUAUAUUUUUUACAUUUUAAAAUAUGUACAUUUUUUUUAUAUAUCUAUAUUUAUUCCUUUUAUUCACAUACAUAUAUUUUUCUUAUAUGUACAUAUAUAUAUUUAUAUUUUAUAAUUUUUAUCUAUUCUCUUUGUUGUUAUAAUUGCUUCACUUAGUGUUUAUUUAUUUAUUCAUUUAUAUGUCCAUUAUCAUUUUAAAAAAAGAAACAUUUUAGUUUUAUUUGUUUAUUUACUUGUUAUUUUAUAUGUAACCGAUUUGUUCUUUUUUUCUUUAUUUAUUAUUUUUGUUGUGAUUUAUUGUGUUAUCUAUGUUCAUAUCGUCAUAUUCAUUAUUGUCAUUUAUUAAUGCGGCAUUUAUUCAUAUAUCAAAUUUAACAUUACAUCAAUUUUUACCCAAAUUUGUAAAAAAGAAAAUUUUGAUAAUAAAGGUAAUACUCGGUAUUUAGGAUCUUCGAGAGGAUUGAGCCCUAACGUAUUGGGUUCCAAUUUUCUUCGUUGAAUCUAAAUAAUCGAGAAUGAUCUUUAAUAAAAAAAAUAUAAAUAAAAAGCUCAUUAUCGGGAAUUCAAUACGUUGUGUCCUAACGCAUUGGACUGCGAUUUCUUCAUCUGACUUAAAUAAUUGAAUAUCCUUUUAAAUUUUAUUGCACGAGUUUUUCUGGACAAGCUCAUUUUUGAGGAGGUGAAAUAUCGUGCCCUAACUCAUUGGGUGCGACAUUUUCUCUCUCCGAAAAGAGAGGAUCUUAAUGGGUAAUUUGAUUUAUACAAGUUUUUUUAAUAAAUGAUUGUAUUUUGAAUCUCUUUAAAGUUUUCAAUUUUCGACAUUAAAACACUAAUUAAUCAACUAGGUACCAAUUUUUGGGCGUUACGAGGGUGCUAAUCCUUCCUUGUACGUAAUCGACUCCUGAACCUGUUUUUUUGAAUUUCGCAGACCAAAAGCAUUGUUUUAAUAAAUCUAAACCGUUUAUUAAAAACAACCGUUUUACGAGGUGACCCGAUCACACCUCAUCAAAAAAGAUUGGUGGCGACUCCCACUUUCGUUUUAUUUUCAAAAUCCAAGUCGACCCCGUUUUAUCAAAAAAAUGAUGCCAACAAUCUAUAAUCAUGAGGGGUAAUGGAUUGUUGAUUCCAAUCCUUUUUUGGGGUCAACAUCAAAUAAGGUAAUCAAAUUAUGGGUCCUUCGUGUUGGAUUAAUACUUACGAAAGAACUUAAUUUUUCUUAAGAGUAGUUGAUCAUAUUAUUGAUGAUUACAAGACGAAAACAUUUUUGAACAGUUGAAUUCUUCAUAUUUUUUAAAAAAGAAACUGAUAUACUGACACUUUUGCUACAAAAGGAAGUAGGUAUAGUGUUUUUAGGAAGUUACCUUUUAUGAACUCUAAUGUUUGAUAUGCUAUUAAUUUUGAUGUCCCUGAUUUUAUGCUUAAUGUUGUUAAGGCUGAUACAGUGAAUAUCUCUAUGCAUCCAACAUUCUCUUACUUAAAAAAUAAUAAUAAUUGAAGGACGUUUUGUCUACAUGAGCCUAAAGAAUACUUGAAAAUAUUCAAGUGGCAGUUGCUUCUAAAACACCAUUUUGUUAUUUGUGAAAAAGAGUAAAGAAAUGUACUUACGAGAUUCCAUUUAACCAUUGAUUAAUCUAAAAGAAAGCAUUGAAAUGAUAAAAAAAAAAAAAACUCCAAAUUAACAUGUUAACAGUGGCAACUGCCAAUAUCAAUAAACAGGAAAAACAAAGGCAAUGGUUUUAAACCUUUUGAGACAUCUCUUGGAUCCUGUAAAUCUAUGUAAUGAGUCUACAAAAUGUUUAAAAAGAUGUUGCAAUCCUAGCACUCCUGUUUGAACCAUGUGGAUUGUAUUCUUUACGGUGCAAAAACAGGUGGAAAUGGAAUCUUAUGGGGGCCAAGCCAACCCAUAUGUAUGUCAAAGGCUUUUUCUUUCUUUCAUUCUACAAAUUUUAUUUUUGGCAAUGAUUUGCUUAUGCCACAACGUCAAAUCCUGCUAAUUUCGUUUGAGGUCUAAAACUCAUCCCACAUGAGGAAAAAAACAUUUUUUUAAGAAUAAUGUUUAACAAAAAUAAUUAUGUUUAUAAAAUAAUAUGGUUGUUUUUGUUGAUUGAAUUUUAGUUCGAUUGAGAUCGGUAUUGUUGUCAGUGCAUUAGAACGUAGGUUGAUGAGAGACUAUAAAUAAUUUUAAACAUUGUAUAAAAAAACAGAUAACAACUUAAAAGAAUAAAGUUAAAAGAAAAAUUAAUAUGAUUGUUUGUUUUUAAAUAAAGGUGAAUGGUUAUUUUUACAUCUAGUUAUUUAUUAGUGGUAUGCCAUUUGUUUUUAAAUCUGUUAUUUUUAAAAAAAUUCAGUACAAAUAUUUAUAAAUUUAUUAAAAUGAUUAGAGUGUUUUUUUAAUUUUUGAUAAGGGAGUUUUUAUAUUUUCUCCUAGUAAAUUGCAUCCAAUUAUGGCCUUAUUUGAAAAAUUAUUGACAAAACUAAUUUUUAAUUGAUUUAAUUUUUUACAGAUGUUUGAUAAUACAAAAUUAAAAUAAUUCGAUAGAAUUUUUCUAUAAAAAAUGUGAAAUUUAAUAAGUAAAUAAGAACUACUUAUCACUCAAUGGAGAAUAUUUUCAAUUAAUUCAAUUUUAUUUUAUUUAUUUUAAUAUUAUAUUGUCCUAUAAACUUUAUAUUUAACAUUAUAUUAUCUUAUAAAAGUUUUACUUUCAAAAUUUGAUUUUUUGUUUAGAAUAAAGUGAAAUGUUUAAAAAUUAAAGAUAAAAUGCAAUAUAUAAUUUUUGUGUAAUUUAAAAUUUAUAUUUAUCAAGCAAUCUAGUUAUAUUCCAAAACUAAUUUUAAGUCAUAUAUAAAAUAAAAUUUAUGUCUUAAAUUCAAUAAUAAAGUUUCCAAUACUUAAUUUCUUAAUAUUUAUUCAUCAAACCAUAAAUGCUAAGCUAUUUUUCUUUUCCAUAUCAAUCAAAUUCAUCUGAUAUUAAUAUCACAUCGAAUAAAUUUAUUACAUUAAACAUAACUUCAAACAAAUAUAUAUAUCUAAUAAUUAGUAAAAGAAAAUUGAAUCAUGCCAUUACUAAACUGGUAACUGUAUAUCCUUUAUUUUAUAAUCAUGGGGCAAAAUGUUGUGUGUGCAAGUUGAUUGUUCCUUGAAAAGUUCCAAAGAGAAGAAAGAAAAGCCCACCGUAUGAUUUUAAAAAAGUCAAAAUAAGCCCCCUGGUUUUGUUUAACGUUAUUAAUGUUCUCUGGGCGGUCUCUUAAUAUAUAUAUUCGUGACAGAUGUGAAAGGUAAAAGUUUCCUCAUGGACUGUAAAAUGGAGAAAAGCAAAAUACAAAUGCUAUAUGAUGCCUGUAAUUAUGUAUUUUCCCAGGAAGAGCUUCCAAAUUUCCAACAAAUUCAAUGGCUCAAAAACAUCUUAAGUACUGAAUCACUUCCUUAACUUUCUGUCUGGUUUUAUACAAUGUUGUUGGUUUGUUUAGUAGAUAUGACUAAUGGGUACACAUUUUCAAACAAGCAGAUACGUUUGAAGCUGUGGAUGUUGGCAUAGAUGAAUUUAGGUCGGAUGGAUCUCCAGGUUCAGGCGAGGUCAUGAACAGCAAUGGGUUGAUUUCUGGGCAAGGAGUUUCUGAAAUAACUUACAUUCACAUCUAUGAAUGUGACCAAUUUUCAGUGAGUACUGCUACACCUUGUUUGUUUGUUUAUUCAUACUUCAUGCACAUAUUUAUAUGUAGAUGCAACUGUAUGAUUAAAAUCAUCAGUUAAAUCUGUUGUGCAGAUGGGAAUUUUUUGCUUUCCUGCUGGGAGGGCAUUUCCUCUACAUGAUCACCCCGGGAUGACGGUUCUAAGCAAACUUCUUUAUGGUUCAGUUUACAUCAAAGCCUACGAUUGGGUUCGUGGGGAGACUUGUAGCCCCAGAAUAAGUAAGAGUUGAUUGAUUGAAAAGUUAUAAGAAACCUCAAUCAGUUCAAAAAAGGCAUGCUGAUGUUAUGAAUGUACUACUAAACAUGUGUGGCUACGGUGCAGACGGAUUAGCAGGCACAGCAAUAGAUGGCAUCUGUUGUUCCAAUAGGGUCGGAAGCGUGUAAAUUAUUGUACUAAAAAAUCACACAAAGUUCAAUUCCCAGGAAAGAGAGGUGGAUCACAUGGAUCUCUUAAAUACCAAGUCUUUCCUUAGACAGAAUAUCCCUUCUAUAGUAAUUUAAUAGCACAAUUAAAUACUACUAUUAUACCCUCAAAUAUUGAAAGAAAAAUAGGACAAGAAAGAACACAAGAGUUUUAACGAGGUUCGGUAAAUUAUACCUACGUCCUCGGGCACUAACACCAGAUGAUAACUUUACUAUCUCCAAAAUAUUACAAACAAAUAGAAUUCCUUAAGAAUUCUCAAAUGGGAGAAGAGAGAAAACUAAGAGAGAAAGAUUGGUUGGGAUGGUUGAAAUGUGAAAUGGUUAGGCCUAUUUAUAGUUGAGGUUCAGGGACUAACUUGCAAAUGGCCUAAAAAUUAGGGACCAAAAUUGCAAUUAUCCCAUUCAACUUUAAACAACUUGCCUAUCAUUUUUUUUUCUUUCGGUGCCACUUGCACCUCCCAUUUUUGACUUUUCAACCCCUUUUUAAUUUGACUUAUCAACAAUCUCCACCUUGAAGAUUUGAUUAGGAUAAUCACAUCUUCACACACUUCCUUCAACUCCCCAAAUUCGAUAAAGCUAUCUUUUGUAGUGCCUCCAAAUGCGCUCUCGAGCGCCAUACACCUAAAGGUGCUCAAAUUCUCAGGAUGUUAAUCAAGUUCAAACAAUGAUUAAACUUGAUUGUUGUUACCACCUUGGUCAUCAUAUCUGCGGGAUUAUCUGCUGUCGGAAUCUUCUGAAGUAGAAUUUUUCCUUUUUCAAAGACUUCCCGCACAAAGUGAUAUCUUACGUCGAUAUGCUUGGUUCUUGAAUGAUAGACUUGAUUUUUCGCUAAAUGAAUAGCGCUCUGACUGUCACAAUAUAAACUUAUGUGACUUUGAACAACUCCUAAGUCUUUCAACAAUCCAUUAAGCCAAAUAGCCUCCUUAACAGCUUCUGUAACUGCCAUAUAUUCUGCUUCUGUAGUAGACACAGCUACUGUAGACUGUAAGGUAGACUUCCAACUCACUGGGGCUUUCGCAAGAGUAAACAGAUACCCCGUAGUUGAACGACGUUUAUCUAAAUCACCAGCAAAGUCGGAAUCAACAUAUCCAACUACAAACUGACCAAGUGCUUCAUCCUGUUCAAAAAUUAAACCAACAUCUACGGUUUUUCGAAGAUACCGUAGAAUCCAUUUCACAGUUUGCCAAUGUCCUUUUCCAGGAUCAUGCAUAUACCUACUCACAACUCCAACAGCUUGUGAAAUGUCAGGCCUCGUACACACCAUCGCAUACAUCAAACUCCCAACUGCAUUAGCAUAUGAGACUUUCGCCAUAUAUUCUCUUUCAUCUUCAGUCUUCGGAGAUAAUUGAGCACUAAGUUUCAAAUGAGAAGCAAGUGGGGUACUUACAUGUUUUGUGUUUUCAUUUACACCAAAACAUUGUAAUACCUUUUUCAGAUAUUGCUUCUGAUUUAAACAGAGCUUGCCUCUCGGUCUAUCUCUACUUAUCUCCAUGCCGAGAAUCUUCUUGGCCUCACCUAGAUCUUUCAUCUCGAACUCUUGAUUCAACUGAGCCUUCAGCUUAUCUAUCUCAUUUUGGCUCUUUGAAGCGAUUAACAUAUCAUCAACAUACAAGAGUAGAUAAAUGAAAGAUCCGUCAUGCAGCUUCUACAAAUAUACACAAUUGUCAUAUUUGCUUCUUGUGUACUUCUGCCUUCUCAUAAAGCUAUCAAAUCGCUUGUACCACUGCCUCGGGGAUUGCUUCAAUCCAUAUAGCGAUUUGUUCAGCUUACAAACCCAAUUUCUACCACCAGCAUCUGUGUAUCCUUCGGGCUGAGUCAUAUAGAUCUCCUCUUCUAACUCACCAUGCAAGAAAGCCGUCUUAACAUCAAGUUGAGCUAGCUCCAAAUUCAACUGUGCUACCAAGGCCAACAAAAUUCUAAUGGAGGAAUGCUUCACAACAGGGGAAAAUACAUCAUUGUAGUCAAUUCCCUCCUUCUGAGCGUAGCCUUUAGCUACCAAUCUUGCCUUGUAGCGAAUAUCCUUCUUGCUAGGAGAUCCAUCUUUCUUUGCGAAUACCCACUUGCAUCCGAUUGCCCUUUUACCUUUCGGUAAUUGCGCCAACUCCCAAGUAUUGUUCUUCCGGAGAGACUGCAUUUCUUCAUCCAUGGCGCUUUUCCAUUUAUCACUUUCUAAGCUUUGCAUUGCUUCUUGAUAAGUGAUAGGAAUAUCAUCAACAACGGGAAGGGCGUAGGCCACCAUAUCAGUAAAUCGAGCAGGUUUACGAAUUUUUCUCCGUGGCCUUGCAACUGCAACUGGUUCUGGUGUACUUAGUGGUUCUUGGGUCAGAACCUCUUCAACCUCUAAUUCUUCCAUUGUGGCUGGAGAAUUAGACUUAUUAACUGGGCAAAUCCCCAUCUGCUCAAACUCCACCUGUUUUGGAGUACACUCCACCUGCUGUGGAGUAUUGCUCGUCUGAAUAUCUUUAUCUGCUACCUUUUUCAAUGUCGCAGAUUCAUCAAAGGUAACAUCUCUACUACAGAUCAUUUUCUUUGUGCUUAAGCACCAAAGACGAAAUCCCUUCACUCCAGAAGUGAUUCCCAUAAAGAGAGCUUUCUUUGCCCUCGGAUCUAACUUUGACUCCUUCACAUGGUAAUAUGCAGUGGUUCCAAACACAUGUAAGGAAUCAUAAUCUGUAGCCGGUUUUCCAGACCAUACCUCCAUAGGAGUUUUUCUUUCUAAUGCAGAUGAUGGCAAACGAUUAACAAGAUGGCCAGCGUAUGUCACAGCCUCAGCCCAAAAUUGCUUGCCCAACCCAGCAUUGGACAACAUACAUCGAACUUUCUCCAGCAAUGUUCGAUUCAUACGCUCUGCCAAUCCAUUCUGCUGUGGUGUAUCCCUAACUGUGAAGUGUCGAACAAUACCAUACUCUUGGCACACAUCGAAGAACGGAUCACUUUUAUAUUCCCCUCCAUUGUCCGUCCUAAGCCGCUUAAUUUUCUUGCCAGUCUGGUUUUCGAUCAUAGUUUUCCAUUUAAGAAAAACUCUAAGCACUUCAUCCUUAGUUCUCAUGGUAUACACCCAAACUCUUCUGGAAAAGUCAUCAACAAAAGUAACAAAGUAGUGUUUUCCUCCCAAUGAAGGUGUCUUGGAAGGCCCCCACACAUCUGAGUGAACAUAUUCUAAAAUACCUUUUGUAUUAUGGAUAGCAGUGCCGAAUUUCACUCUCUUUUGCUUUCCCAGAACACAAUGCUCGCAAAAUUUUAAUUUGCAAGCCUUUGCACCUUUCAACAAUCCUUGCUUUGCCAGAAUUUGCAAGGAUUUUUCGCUAGCAUGUCCCAACUUCAUAUGCCACAACUGUAUUGAGUCCAAUUCUUUGUUGCCGGAAGCUGCAGCGACUGCUCCAAUAACUGUACUACAUUGGUAGUAAUACAAGUUAUUUUUCCUGAUGCCCUUCAAUAUCACAAGUGCGCCAGAUGUCACUUUCAAAAUCCCAUCUCUCAUAGUAACAACUGAACCAUUGGAUUCCAAGGCUCCCAAUGAGAUGAGAUUUUUCUUCAAACUGGGCACGUACCGAACAUCAGUCAGAACUCUGGUUGAUCCAUCUUGAUUCUUUAAUUGGAUUGAACCUAUCCCAACAGUUUUACAGGCAUUGUCAUUGCCCAUAUAAACAACUCCUCCAUUUAGUUCUACUAAAUCAGAGAACCACUCCCGGUUAGGGGACAUAUGAUAGGUACAACCCGAAUCCAAUAUCCACUCAUCUGAAUGGAACGACGAUGAUGAUGCAACCAGUGAUAGUUCAGAGUCACUAGUAUCAUGCUUUGCAACACAAGCAUCUACAGCAGCUUUUCCCUUAUUCUUCAGCUUUGGACAAUUUUUCUUCCAGUGGCCUUUCUCAUGACAAAAAGCACAUUCAUCUUUCCCGAGUCUGGACUUUGACUUUGAUCUCCCCUUUUGAGUUUUCUUCCGAGUGUAUGAACGACCUCGGACUACUAAAGCUUCUGUAUCUCUGAUUGAGUUUUUCUGUUUGUCCUUCUUUCUCUAUUCAUAACUGUAUAAGGCCGCACAAACUUCGCUCAGAGAUAUAUCACUCCUGCCAUGAAGUAGAGUAGUUUCUAGGAACUCAAACUCCUCAGGAAGUGACCCCAACAGCAUCAAAGCCAAAUCUUCAUCUUUGAAUGUCUCAUCCAUAUUCAGCAAAUCAGUGACUAACUGACUAAAUUUGGUGAUGUGAUCAUUCAUUGUGGUACUUGGGACGUAUGUGAAGCGAAACAGUCUUUUCUUCAAGUGGAGCUUAUUUUGACUGUUUUUCUUCAAAAAAAUUUCUUCAAGUGCCACCCACAACUUAUUUGCAAAAGUCUCCUUUGAAAAAGCAUACCUCUGCUCUCGAGAAAGGCAUGAUCGAAUUGUGCCACAUGCCAACCGAUUGAUCGCCUUCCAAUCUUUCUCCUGUACAUCAUCUGGUUUCUCUUCAUCAAUGGCAAUGUCUAGACCCUGCUGAAAAAGGGCAUCUAGAACCUCACUUUGCCACAUACCAAAAUGGCCCGUGCCAUCAAAGAUCUCCACGGCCAAUCUUGCAUUUGCAAUUGUCGGUCUUGUCCACAUGGACGAUGUUGAAGCUCCUACACCGACCGUUUUCUCCAUAAUCUUUCAAUAUACCUAAGGAAAUCUUUUCUGAUGUGGAAGAUCAGUUUAAACUGCAACCACAGAGCAUACUACGAUUAACCUUCGGCUCUGAUACCACUUGUUGUUCCAAUAGGGUCGGAAGCGUGUAAAUUAUUGUACUAAAAAAUCACACAAAGUUCAAUUCCCAGGAAAGAGAGGUGGAUCACAUGGAUCUCUUAAAUACCAAGUCUUUCCUUAGACAGAAUAUCCCUUCUAUAGUAAUUUAAUAGCACAAUUAAAUACUACUAUUAUACCCUCAAAUAUUGAAAGAAAAAUAGGACAAGAAAGAACACAAGAGUUUUAACGAGGUUCGGUAAAUUAUACCUACGUCCUCGGGCACUAACACCAGAUGAUAACUUUACUAUCUCCAAAAUAUUACAAACAAAUAGAAUUCCUUAAGAAUUCUCAAAUGGGAGAAGAGAGAAAACUAAGAGAGAAAGAUUGGUUGGGAUGGUUGAAAUGUGAAAUGGUUAGGCCUAUUUAUAGUUGAGGUUCAGGGACUAACUUGCAAAUGGCCUAAAAAUUAGGGACCAAAAUUGCAAUUAUCCCAUUCAACUUUAAACAACUUGCCUAUCAUUUUUUUUUCUUUCGGUGCCACUUGCACCUCCCAUUUUUGACUUUUCAACCCCUUUUUAAUUUGACUUAUCAACAGCAUCUUCAAUGCACCAUGUGAACCAUCGGUCUUGUUCCCAAGGAGCGGCGGAAACAUCCACUCAUUCACGGCCUUGACCCCUUGUGCUAUCUUGGAUGUCUUAUCUCCGCCCUACUCCGAUGACUUGGGCAGGCCCUCCACCUACUUCUUAGACUUCCCCGUCCCUUCUCUUCCUGGUAAAUCAUCGAAUUCAAUUUAUACUAUAAUUUCUCUUCUUGAUGUCAUCGAUUGCAUCCGAGUUUAUGUUUCGAUAUUCCCCAGGUUAUGCUUGGCUUGAGGAAAGAGAAGUAAAACUACCAUGUGACUUGGUUGUUAAGGGGGCACCUUACCUUGGUCCUCCACUUGAUGUUCCAGAUGAUGAUCUUUGCUAACUGGACCUACAAGAAUUCUCAGUAUAUGUAUAUCUGUAACCUUUUUGUUUAGUAUUGUAAAAGAAGUAUACAUGUACAACAUACCCCAGCAUCUCAUAAUGGUGAACCCAUCUAACUGAAAAAUCACCUAUUGCAGUUACCAUUUUCGCCUCCAGCUUCUAUUAAUUACUUUUUGGAUCCUGGCCCAAACUAUCGAUUAAAAAUGAGAAAAGCAUAUAAUUACAAUGAAAAUAAUUGACUGUUCUUAAAAUUUGAGAUGAAGUUUAUGGGUGAAGCAGCUUUAUACAUCCUUACAUACAAGACUAUUUCCAAGUUUAGGAGCCGAAAAUGUUCUGGUGAGACGAUAUCAAUCGUGGUUUAGAUUUGAGCUUUUUUAUUGUGAGAAUAGAGCGUAGGAUGCUCUCGCUGAAAAUCGUACAACAGUACAAGCAAAGAUCCAUGGUUUUUUAGUCCCACGAAUUUGAAUGAGGUUGGGUGGAAAAAAUGGAAAAUUUGUUUCUCAGCACCAUUAUUGACUGGACUUGCGGAUUCCAAAUUUCCAAGUCGUUAUUUGGUCACGACUGAUGUCAUAUUGAUUGUAGUUUUAUCUCCAUCCUAUACAUCACCACCUAUUUAUGAUUCGGAUUUCCUUCAGAAAAUAAUUUUAAAACCCAGGACUUUAAAAGCAUAAUAUCCAAGUUAAAUAGAGAGGGUUGGAUUAAAAAGAAAAAAAACGAAGCAUUUAGAAUAUGUCUCUGCAUUUUCCAACUACCUAUAUUAACCCCAACAAAACAAAAUAGGGCUGAUAAUUGAUCCAUCAAAACUGGUUUCAUGUAUCUAUUGGCACAAUACCAAUUCCUUGAAUGAAGUAUAAGAAAACGAAAAAGAUGCCUAAAUAUCAUGUGCUAUUUCUCCCUUGUUUUGUCCUGCCUUACCUUGCACGUCAUUGUUGCUCCUUAAUAGCACAAUUUCCAGCCCACAGCGCACCAGCUUCCAGGGUUUUUACCCUAUACCAUCCUAAUAUUAUCAGAAAUGUAAAAAUCUCACAACUGAAUUCAACACUUAUAAGUGCAGUAAAACAGGCGUAAGCUAUAAGCAGUAACAUGGAGCGAAUGUUACCGCCCUGAGUUUGGCGUGUAGUAGCCGCUAGUGACCAAUUAGUCUUUUUCUUCUUUUGUAGGGAGAAGAAUUUUUGUAGCCUUUCACACCAUCGGACACGACACUGUGUGGGAACUUUCACCUUAGAUUCUUUUUUCUUUUCCAAUUAAAUCGAAUCUCCGCCAUUCGUUCCACGUGCUGUUUAUCUAUAUGUUGCUUAUCUUCAGUCAAGCGGAUCAGGCUUACAAGGUUUAACCCUCUGCAGCUUUUUAUGAUACGAUGAUGAUGAUGGUUGUCACUUCUAAGCCACAACUUGGGGUUCAUAAAACCUGUUGAACUUGAAACCAAGCGUCAAGUUUUGGACGGAGUUCUUUAUGUUUAUAUACUGUAGUUUUCAAAUAUAAAAGAAAAAAAGAUUCGAAACUAUGGAGCGUUAUGAAAUUUUGAAAGACAUCGGGUCAGGGAACUUUGGUGUAGCUAAACUGGUUAGAGAUAAAUGGACAAGAGAGCUCUUUGCUGUUAAGUUCAUUGAGAGAGGGCAGAAGGUUAUUAUCUUCAUACUCUUUUUAUUGUCUGUUGAAUCUUUCCGGUUUCUUUCUUUUCUCCCCUGUUUUUAAUUGGAUUCUCUGUCAUGUUGAUCCAGAUAUCAUUCAUGGAUGUGUGGAUUAAAGGAUUUUGGUCUUUUUCCUGUUUUUUGUUGUAGAUUGAUGAACAUGUGCAAAGGGAAAUCAUGAACCAUAGAUCAUUGAAGCAUCCCAAUAUAGUUAGAUUCAAAGAGGUGGGUUUAGGGGUAUUCCUAUAUUCCAUGUUCCUUUAUUUGUCAGCGUCCUUGUCUUGUACCCUGUCUAGAUAAGCUAUGAUCAACGUUCCAUUAUGAUAGUUUUAGGCUCUGAUGUUUUUUACCACCCUUCUUUUCCCAUUAUGGAGAACCAAAGAAAAAAAAUGUGAAAGAGACAAUAAUGUUUAUGUAAUUUAUUCUUUUAAACAUUACUUUAUUCUUUAUUUAGUGUUGGUAAAGCAAAUUACUAUCCUCUGAAGCAGGAAACCGAGAGUAUGGAUAAGCAGAAGAUUUUAACAACUUUCCAAAUUGUUGUCUGUUGGCCUUAACAGGUUCUUCUUACACCCACUCAUCUAGCCAUAGUCAUGGAGUAUGCUGCAGGGGGAGAACUCUUUGACCGCAUUUGCAAUGCUGGUCGAUUCGGUGAGGAUGAGGUACAAUGAAAAAUGUGGACAACUUGAUGUUAAAUAAUAGUUAUGUUGCUCGGAUCCUUCAUGUUUCUUGAAGUUCUCAUGUCCGACAGAUUUUCAAAUGCAUGAUAAGCUUUGGAAACAAAAAAAAAAAAACACAUCGGUUUCAACACUUACAGCAUCUAACAUUCACAUUCGAAUCCGAGUAACAUAGUUUCUUAUGUAUAUAUCUUCUGUUGGAAUAAUAACAUUCCUUACCUUCUCUAAUGUUGAGUUCCAACAGGCAAGGUUUUUCUUUCAGCAGUUGAUAUCAGGAGUCAGUUACUGUCAUUCAAUGGUAUGAAACUCUGGCUUUUAGUUUCUUGGUUCUAAACUUGUCCAACAAAUUGUUCUGUCUCUGUUUUGCUUUGCGCAGCAAAUAUGCCACCGGGAUCUUAAACUUGAAAAUACUCUCUUAGAUGGCAGCACGGCACCGCGUGUCAAAAUCUGCGAUUUCGGAUACUCAAAGGUAUUAAACGGUAACUUAAUCAACAAGUUUACAACAACAACCUUGAUUUCGCUAACUAAUUAUCCUGCAAUUUUUGUAGUCAUCUGUCCUUCAUUCUCAACCAAAAUCUACUGUUGGAACACCAGCUUACAUUGCUCCUGAGGUUCUAUCCAAGAAAGAAUAUGAUGGGAAGGUAAUAAUAUCCUUCGUUACAUAUUCGGACUUGUUGAUCUAAGUAACAUAAUCUAUAUCUAAUCCUCCAUAACUAUAGAUUGCAGAUGUUUGGUCAUGUGGGGUGACCUUAUAUGUGAUGCUAGUAGGGGCAUAUCCUUUUGAAGAUCCGGAUGAUCCAAAAAACUUUAGAAAGACAAUUGGGGUGAGUGCUUGUGCUUCUACAAAACCUUGACCGUCACUUUCUCUUCAAAAUUAGACAUAAUUGAACCUGCAAAUGUGUUUGAGGCUUCCCUAACUUGAUUAUUUGGUGAUGGCAGAGAAUACUGACUGUCCACUACUCAAUCCCCGAUUAUGUCCGAGUUUCUAUGGACUGCAAGCAUCUUCUGUCUCGGAUAUUUGUGGAAAAUCCUGGAAAGGUAUCAUUUAAUCCAAUUGCUCCAAUAUUCAUCCAAUCUUUGUUAGGAUUGUUUGUAUUGAUCUUGUUCUCUCUUGUUGGUGCAGAGAAUAAGUAUAACAGAGAUUAAAAGCCACCCAUGGUUCUUAAAGAACUUGCCUAUGGAACUGAAGGAAGGGGGAAACUGGGAGAGCCAUGAUGUGAACAACCCUUCCCAAAGCUUGGAAGAAGUGCAGUCUAUAAUACAAGAGGCCAUGAAAACCACAGAGGUCCCCAAGGGCGGGGAAAUUUUCCUGGGAGGGAGCAUGGAUCUUGAUGAUGAUUUAGAUGGUGAUGAAGAUCUUGAAGAUGUAGAGUCAAGUGGUGAUUUUGUGUGCCCACUCUGAACCAGAUCACACAUAAAUAUAUAGACUAAUCAUCAAUCAAAAGAUUUGCUUUUUGUUUUUUGGUUUUUCAUCUUUUCUGUUCUAAUUUUGGCUCCUAGAAGACUCCCUUCUGAAUUACUAUAUUUCACAAGUUAUUAUAAUUGUGGAGGUUGGAAUGGAAUUAGUGAUUGAGAAUGGAGUAAGAGUAAUGCAAAGACUUGUAAUUUUAACUGAAACUGUUGUAUUAUUAUGAAUAAUCUAAUUGCUUUUAUACAUCAAACCAUAUUUUUUUAUGAUAAUUGAUACCCAAUUUAGAAGUACUCUGGUCUGUCUAAUUCUGAAUUUCUAAUGGAUGAUUCACCUCAAUUAAAUUAAACCACAUCUUGCUCACCCUAAGGAAAACAAAAAAUGUCAGAACCCAAUGUUUAGGCAAGAAAAGAUCCAGGCUUUCUGCUGCUUAAAGUCUUGCCUUGCCCUCUUAAUUUAUCAUCGCAGGUUCACAAUCAUUGCCUGCAAUUUGUUUGACUUUACAUCUUUCGCGUUUCAGUAAUGCCUUUUCUUUUUCCCUUUCCUGCAACUUUUUACAAAUUCACAGGGUUCGCUUUCUUUGUGUGAAGUUAUUGCGGUUUAAAUUUAAUUAGAAGAGUUAAUUGCACCAUACGUCCCUAAACUAUAAUCCUCAUUUUAAAUUGAUCCUCAAACUUCAAAACAUUCUAUUUAUUUCUCAAAAUUAUCCAUGUUAUAUCAAUAAGGUCCUUUUGUUAUUAAAUGACACAUCAAAUCUUAGGCAACUAAAUUUAAAAUGAAAAAUUUAAAGAUAUUUUUGCAUAAAUUUUAAAAGUAAAAGCUAAAACUAAAAUAAAAUUAAAAAAAGUAGCAAUGAUAAAACUUUUGUAAAAAUUUUGAAAACUUCAAAACUAAUAUUUUUAAAAUAUUCAUUUUUUCUUAAAUUUUUAAUUUAAAAUUAUGCCACAUAUAAUCUGACAUGUCAUUUAACAGUUAAAUUAACGGUUUUAGUGAUGAAAGAAUCUAAUUGACAUAACCUCAAGAUUUUAAAGAUGUAAUUAAAAUGUUUAGGGACCAAUUUAAAAUGAAGAUUAUAGUUUGAGAAUGUUUGAUUUAAUAAAACUUAUAAUAGAAUUAUAUAUAUAAAAAAAAACCCUUUUAAACUAAUCCCUAGAGGUUUUUAAGGUAUCAGUCAUGUCAGUAAAAUAUCGUAAUUAAAUUUCAAGCAUUAAAUUAGGAAUUUUAAAAUUAUGAAUACUAUCAUUAGAAAAUUUGAUAAAAUAGAAGAUGAAUAAACCAAUAUUCUUUUAUUAAACAAUAACUUAAUAGUCACAUUAGAUAAUUAUUAUAUCCACAUAAAUGAUAGAUAAUUAUCAUAGUCACUUAAUAGAGUAAUAAUAUCUUAAUCUUACAUUUUUUUUUUUGUUGUUGUUGUCAGUGAUGUAAAUAUAAAUAAAAUACAAUUGUUUAAAUUAUCUUGAUUUAUAUAGAGUGAUUGAGCGGUGAUUAAAACUUUUGUCAGACACUUAUUUAACAUGAGUUUAAGUUAUGAUAUCUCCAUCCUCUACCCUUAAGUAUAAAAAAAAAUUACUUAUAUUUAUCCGACUUUAUUUCUAUUUUAGGCAAAUAUGUUAUUUUUUUUAUACGUUUGACUGAGUUGAUGUCACUAUCAACUAGGUCUCAGCUCACUUGUAAGAUUACCAAAAAAAAAAUUUACAAAGUAAGAAAUAUAUGAUUAUGAUAGUAUUUAUCCUUUUUAAUGUCAUUUUAUAUUUUUAUAUAAAAUCUAAAAAUAUAGGUAAUAUUAUUCAAUAGUAUUUUAGUCUUUUCACUUUUAAAAAAUUCAAUAAAAAUAUGCAUGUGAUGAAAUUUUGAACACGCAUAAAUUAAAUUAGUAAAACUUUAAAUUUACCACUCAACCAAAGUUUCAUUUUAAUAUUUUUAUACAUUUUAAUUUUUAUGAUGCACACUUUAUUACCCUAUAAGUUGUAUCUAUACUAUUAAUAAAGUUGUUAACAAAAUUGGUGUCACGAGUCAACCGGACACCAACUCUGUUAAAAAAAUAAGUAAUAUUAUUCAAGGAGAUUUUAAUGUUUUCACUCUAAAAAAUCCAAUAAAAAUAUUAAUAUGAUGAGAUUUGAAACCUUAUUUGUGUUUUAUAAUUAUUGUUUCCACACACACGUAGGCAUAUAAAUGUUAUCAUUAAUUUCAAUUUCUUAUAAAUAUAUUUCUUAGAUCAAUUUUUGUGACUGAAAUUAUUAAGUAUAGAUUACACAUAGCAUACCAAAGAACUAACUAAAAAAAAGUAUAAAACAUGUAAUAAUUGGAUCAUGAAAUAGAAAAAAAAUAUCUGCGAAUGAAAACCAAAAAAUGGGUUAAUUUCCUUUUCCUGUAACUCCCAACUUCUGCAGAAGGUAUUGAGAAAGAUAAAAUUUUAAAAGGAAACGAAAGAGGAUAAAAAAAGUUUAAUAAGCUGCAGUAAGCAUUCAUCAGGGUGCUCUUAUGAGACGUGAAUCAAGGAAAGCCUUCAUAGUUAUUUAAUUCUCCCCAAACUUGAAGCUCAACUUCUUCCCAUGACUCUGCUGCUCUAAGUUCCUUCCAUGUUUUAAAUAGACCACCCAAUACAUUCUCAUCAUGCAAAAUACAGAAGCACCUGUACAUCCAAAUAUCCCACUUUAAUGUUUCACCUCUUAGUGGCCUUAUGCUGCAUAUCUAAUCAAGCAUUGCAUUUGAACCGCAAUAAAUAUCAUGGGAAAGAAAGUAACUGGAUUCUAUUUACUUACAUGGCAUGGUACGAAAGUCGUCCAUACUUAUCAUCAUCGCUACCUUGCUUCGGUGUUUUUCUCAUCAAAGAAAGUUUAUAGCUUUUCAGAAACUGCUUAAGCAGAUCGGAAUUCCCUCUAAACACAUCUAAAUGCAUGGGUAUCAAGUCAUUAAUGGAAUCACCUGCAAUAUCCAUCGUUUAUUUCCCUCAACACAACACUAAUCGAGAAUAAAAUAAUCUUUUAGGAAAAGAGUAACAGCUUCAUUUUGUUCUAAAACAUGGGGGAAAAGUUACUUGGGUUAAAACCAGAAUGUUUACAUGAGAAGUUAAGCAAAUAUCAUAUGGCUCUUGAAUAUUUUCAGUUGCAUUAAUCUCUCAUUCUCACUACACGUUUCUUAUGUUUGCACAAUCCAAUUAUGGUGCGAUUUAGUUUCUGUUGGCAUUAGCAAAUCCUCAUGUCUAAAGCAAAACAGGAAGGAGGGAUGAAGGAUUUACAAACGACAAUAGCUUUAGUCAUAGUAAAGUGGAAAGACAUCAAAUUAAGAUAGUGGACUGACCUACAGCAAGAUUACUGAAAUCAAGGAUGUAAGUAGGGCGCCAAGAUUUAGCUACUCCACCAUUACUUGUUGGCGCAGGAAUUCCAUUUGAGCAAGAUUUACAUUCCAUGUAAAUAUUGUCAUCCAUAAUAUCCCUGUGUAUCCACGACCAAGGCUUACCAACUUUUUUCAUGCCAUUUUCCUAUCAAUACACAAGGGCAUUAGGUAUAAUUGUACAAGAGGCUCUACCUAUAAGAUUAAGAGGAAAAAGAGGUAAUAAGAAACAGGAUAGUGGGACUAUAAAAGAACCUCAUAUAUAGAAAGCAGCUUCAGAAAAUCAUCUGGAAGGUAUGCUUCAGCUUUCUCUAUAAGCGUUUUAGGAAUCGAACCGCUCCUACAAAAUUUAGUAUAGAAUUUCAAAGGCAUUAUAUAAUCAGACACUAUGAUAAAGUAAGUAAAUAAAGAAGACUAAAACAAAUAGAAAGAAAAAAAAUCUGUAUCUGUGAAGUUGUUAUGCUCAUUGAGUAAUAUGCUAACACUCCCACUGAUUGACUGCAUAGCACAAUAGACAUUAUUCCCAAAUAGAAAAUAAACUACAGGCAAAUUUCUAGUAGGUAAGAAAAUUUUCCCCAUUAUAUAUAAAAAGCAGAAAUUAGGUCCACAUAAUGGUGAAAGAUUUAACCGAGAAAACAAGUAUUUGGCUGUAUAGCAUGAAAGAAGCACAGGUCAAUGGCUGUGCAAUUGGUAUUGUUCUCAAGAAGACUGAAGCAUGCAAUGUUUAAAAAAAAAACAGAUAUGACGUUUUGAAAAACAAACACAAUAUAAUUGGUUGCAAAACUAGGAGGUAAAAAUAAUAUUUUCAGUAGAAAUACUGGUGAUUGUAAAAGUUGAUGAACAAUCUCCAUUCCCAAAUUAGAUAUUAUACCGUUUACUCAAGCGGCCGGAAACAUUCUUCUUCUUCUCCAUUAAAGUUCUCACAAAGAUUUUCCAUUCAACUGGAAUAUCAGAUUCGUUGGAGACAAACUCCAUGUCCAUGUCAUUGGCAGAGGAAAACUCCCUAUUCUGUUCAAAAUCUGAAAGAUCUGAAUUACUGAAGGAAGGAUAGGGCAACAUAUGAAGGCUUCGUAGUUGCUCUCCUAAAAAGGAAGCUAAGUUAAGCACAUCUUCCCAUGGCAAUACAUUUCUUCUGCAAUAGAAAUUAAAUGGAAGCUUAACAGUUGCACCAAUCUACUUUUGACAUCUCAGGUUCUCUAAGUAAAGAUUCAUUCAGAAAUAAGUAAGAGAUUUCAGAGUAAGUACUUACAAUUCUGUAAAUAUCUCUCCUUUGCAACGCUUUGUUAUAAGAUAAGGCAGCAAGACAAUAGUAGAUUCAUCUGAAUCGUCUGGUCCAUUUUCUGGCGACACAUCUUUUCUGUACGUAAACAGUAUCUUGCUCUGAACACCAAAGGGAAAGACAUCACCUGUGCCCUUCUCUGGAAUCAAACUGCACUUUCUAAUCACAUCAGGCACUUUUUUACCAUUCCAAGAAUCAAUAUUGUAAGAUCCAUUUUCCAAGUGCAGAAUCCCACUAGCUAAUACAUUAGGAAUGUGGUUUUUCAGAGGAGAGUUAACUUCAGAAAGAGUGCUGUAGAAUUCAAGCUGCAAAGAAGGAAAUGUGAAACUUACAGUAUGUAAAAGACUCACAGACAUGAGUAUGAAAUAAGUAAACAUAUGUAGCUACCUCAGUGCCCAAAUCAAAUAUUGAAGAUUGCGGCCCUCCUUCAGCAAAGAUUUUGACCACAUAUUCAUCCAUGACAUAGACCUGUUGCAGAAAACUAGAACUGUCAGUUGAAAUACAAACGUUCUCUGCUGAUAACAUGACUGAGUUUAUAAAAUCUGUUGGUCAUCAACAAAUGACAUAGAGAUCAGAUCCUUUAACAGCAAAAUUCAUAUCAACAUGCUAAAUAAACAGCACUCAGAUCACAUGUUGUGGAAGACGUGUCUAUGUGUAGAUGCCAUCAUUCUUUACUCUAAGGAUGACUGUCAAAAGUUGAUAUGCCCAGUGGAGUAUGGUUAUGUGUCACUAGUGGGAAACAUGCCUCUGUACAAGGUAAUGACAAGCUCUGGAAUAUCCUUGAAGUGAUCUCUCACAAUUGGUUCCCCUAACUUUCCAUUCGUAAAAGGAAAUAAACUCACAGGAUUGCUGCCCAUUCCAACAGGAAGCUUUGCAUUCUCACUGGGAAAAGGCAAACUGUGAAAGAAGCAGAUUUUCCCCAAGCAAUCCAACCAUUUGUCUGCAUUUAGUGCAAGACAAGCUCCCUAAGACAAUGAGAGAACGUAAAUGAUAUUAAGUUAGCAACAAAAUAAAAUAUCACAUGCUAUGCCAAAGUUUUUGACAAAGCGAUAGCGAGAUAAAUAUCUAGUAAACACCAUAAAGAGUGCUUGCCAGAGAAGAAAACUUGCCAGACAUAAUUAUCCAAAUAUGUGAUAAGGGGAAUUUUGUUAUAAAGAAAAUCUCUUAAACAACCUAUAAGGGCUUCUAUCUGUAUUCUUCAACAAUUUGUGGUUUAGUUCAAGACUGAAUAUCUAAUAAAAGCAUGCCUAUUUUACCUCUUAAAAAAUGUGGGUACCUAUUUUAAUUUGCUUAGUCAACUCAUCCAUAGAAAGGGAAAAUGAAGUAAAAAGACUGACUUGGUGGGAAGAAGAUAUUCGUGCAAGAAAUGUGACAUAACCUUCCAAAUCAUUUCUCUCUUUCCAGGAUUUCCAACCCAAAGCCUGGACAGCCAUUCCCUCAAACCUCGCUGCCCUAAGGAAUUGUCUGGGCACCAUGGAGAAGUAAAGUGGUCUAGCUCUCUAUUCCGAAACAUGGCCAAGUAAUUUAUAUCAAAAGAAAAAUCGUGUUCCCAUACAUUAUAGCUCCCAUUAGCAUUUUCUUUUCCAUUUUCAUUCUGUUGAGGCCUUAGAAUUCUGGCUUUCGUCUCUUUCUUUAUCAAGUCUAAGCACCUAAAAUUUUCUUUCUCGCAGGGCAUGUUCUUCUCGAUGAUCUCUAAACUGUCUUCAUCAAGAGCAAGCAAACCAGCACGACAUACUCCUCUAUGACAGUAACCCGGUGCCAUAUCUAGACAUACAAAUUCAAAGUUUCUAGAAUUCACAAAAUUUUGUGUCACAGCGAUGGCUGUUUCCAGAUUCAGGACACAGUGCCACCAUCCGCUCGGAACAAAAAUGGUCUCCCCAGGCAGUUGAGUACACUCAAUUGGCUUGUUUUCAUCAGCAAGAAGCGGAUAGAAAUCAAGCCACCACUGUACAGAAGCAAAGAAGGAUCCAGCAAAAGUAACCCCAAAAAAAAGUGACAAGAAUUAGGAGAUAAAACACAGGUCCUGGGAUAUCAGACCUAUAUACCUGCAAUGAAGUUGGAGAAUCAACACUAAUAUCACCAUCUUCAUCGUCUACAUGCACUGUAACACCCAAUGGAACUGUUCCUGGGGGAUACAAUGCCCACCUGUCCAAAAAUAUUUAGACAUGUCAUCCUGGAUAUCAGCUCUUCAACUACAGUGAAGCAACAAAAUGUACUAUCCUAUGCUGCUAAAAAAAUAAAAUUAUCGGCCAGUUCGCACAACAGUAUAAGGUCCAAUGAAACAGAUAAAAGAUAAAAUGAAAUAAAUUUGCUGGAGGUUGUUCAUAAAUGAUCUCCAUGAACAGACGUGUACUAUUUGUUAAGCUUGAUGGAGGCACAUGUAAAUUCCAAAACCACCAACAUGAAAGCAUUUUAUAAAUACAGAGGUAAUUUAUCAAAAAUACCUUUUACGACCACAUAGAAGAGUAUUCCAGGCACUGGUAAGUCCGGGAUCAACAAGCCAAGAGGCACCAGACCUUGCUGGACCAAUAACAAGCCAUCUGAAUGAUGGUCAAUUUUUAUCUAAAACAUCAAAGAAGUCUUCUUGAAAUAUUUGGGGUACAGUGUAAUCUUUCAACAAACCAGGUGCAGAUUCUCCAAACUGCAUGGCAAACAAUCAAAGUACUUACGAAACUUUCCAAGAAGGUCGCUAUCUGAUUAAUUAUAAUCCUGCACUUUAAAAAAUAGUAUAAAUAUUAUGACUACCCUAGACUCACCUUGUCAUCGAAAAUAUAAAGAGGAUCCUCAUCAUGCUGUUGUUUCAUGUACGAUACAUAAUCUUUGAAUGUCAUCGAAACUUUUAAAGGGGAAGAAAUCUUGAAUUUUGUAUCUCCAUAUUUGGGCACUAGCCAGUCAAUUGUCCAAGAUUUCCUUGCAGGCCAAGUAUCGGCCAAUCCAUUAAGCAAAACCUGAAAUGUCAAUCAGCAAGAACCCCAUUCAAAAAGCACGCAACUAGUAACUUACAGUUGCAAAUGCAGAUUGACUGACUAAUGAAGAGCGAAACAUUUACAGAUAUAGUGAUUUCUUCUAAUAAAUGUAAUUUAAGUACGCAGUAAAACUCUAAAAUCAUUACAAUCAUUUGAAUGAGUGAGUUCAACAUGAUGUACUAAAAAACAAACAAAAAAUAUGUAGGGGAUACCGGUUUAAUCCCAUCAUAUUCGCGAUGAAACUGUUCUGCAGAUAUGUCAUUUUUUCUUUCAACAUUUCCAUCAUCAAACGAAAACCCGUCUAAUGUUGUAUGGCAUCUAUAUAAUCUUUUGUAUAAGAAUGGAGAGCUAAAUCCUACCCAAAAGAGAAAGAAGAUUACUCAAAUCAAUACCAUCAUUUCCAAAAAGGAGAAGUGUUUGUUUUCAUAAAAACAAAAUCACGAGGCUAUUUACCAUCAAACUGCAAUGGUUUUCUGCAAAAUUCUAUAUACUCAUUCGGCAAAUUCUCUCUGAAUUGCAAAAUUAAAAAUAAAUUAAUAUAAAUCCGUACAAAGUCAGACUAAAACUUCGAUUAAAAAGGAAAUCAGAAAAUUUUAAAUCUGAGUUGCAAAGAGCAGAAUACAAAUGCAAUGUUGUCUUUUUCCAGGAGCCUUUGUAUUGAAUGUGACCACUGACUUUCUUGAGACAAACACUCAUCCAAAGCGGCUCUUCAUUGCAGAAUAUAUACAUAAAACUAACAGAUACAAACACCAAAACAAAUAAGACACUUCAAUUGAGAAUAUAAAAAUUGGCAAAGAAAAGAACAGAGAGCCAUAAAAAAAUAAUAAAACCUGCUGACACAAGCGAGACGAGCGAGGUCUAGAGGAGUGAGACAAUCUAAGAUGGUGCAAAUGAUUUCGUCGGGGAUAUAUUUGAAAUCGCCUAGGGAGUCGGCUCGCCGGUCUCUGAUCGGGAAAGUAUGAGAUUGAUGAAGAAUUUCCAUUGAAGAAGGUAGACGACUGGCGAUCGAUCCAAGCAAAGUAGCAAAUAGAAAACAGUAGAAAGCAGGGAGGAAGGAAGGUUUACGUUUAAGACAAGAACUGGUUUGGUUUGGUUUGGUGUUGUCAUUUAAACAUUUUUGCUACGAAAGGAAGAACGCAGGGCAUGUUGACACGUAUCCAACUUGUUCCUUUCGCGCGCUUUUACCGUUUGCUCCGUAGGAUUUGCUCACGCGCCCUUUACCUAUUCAUUUUCUUGUUCCUUUUCUUAAAAUUUAUUGUCAAAAAAGCCCUUAAAAAAUACAAAAAAUAAUUAAGUUCAUGUGUUAAAUUCUCACCCAAUUAAGUUUCCGCCGUUAAUUAAAUAAUCAAUUAAGAUUAUCUGUUAAUAAUUUUCGUCAUUAAUCAUAUUAACUGUUAAAAUAAAUUGAUGAACCAAUCAUAUGGUGACAUGUGGCAACUUUUGGUUUAAUCUAAUUUUUUUCCAUACAAAACAAUUAAAAUAUUUAGAAAAAUUAGAAAAAUUAUUAAAAAUUAUAUAAAAUAUAAAAUAUUAUAAAAAUAUAAAAAAUUUAUUUAAAAUUAAAAAAUAUAUUAGAAUUCUUAAAAAAUAUUUAAAAAUUAUAAAAAUACAUUUAAAAUAUUAAAAUUGAAAUAAAUUUAUAAAAAUAAAAAUUUGAACUGGACCAAUCAGCCCGAAAUCGACAAGAAUUAAUUUGAGGAAAGCCAUUAUAUUGAUUGAUUUGGGAAUCAGGUGAUUAAACUGACUUUUUAUUUUUUUUAAUAUUUUUUUAUCAAACUAAAAUUUCAUUAUCCAAAAAAAAAAUUCAUUAUCCAACUAUUAGCACAUGUUAGAAUGAAAUAUUCUGACCAAGGUUUUCAGAACCGGCAUGGUGGUCAAAUUGGUCAAGUCAUUGGUUUGUUAGUUUGACUUAUCUAUCCAGUUCAAUUAAUUAAAAAAUAAAAAUAAAAAAUCAGUCAAACCAUCUGGUUCCUAGGUCAACCAGUUUAAUGACUUUCUCCGAACUGAUACUCUUGCCGAUUUCGGUCUAAUCGGUCCAACCAACUGAUUAGAUCCAAUUCAAAUUUUUAUGUUUUUUUUAUAAUUUUUAUAAAUUUAUAUUAACUUCAAUACUUUUAAUUUUUUAUAGUUUUUAUAUUUUUUACAAAAUUUUAAUACAUUUUUAUAAAAUUUUAAAUAUUUUAAAUAUGGUUUAUAAUUUUUAUAAAAAAUUAUAUUUAUUAUAAUAUUUAUAAGUUUAUAUUAAUUUUCAUAUUUUUAAUAUUCAAUAAUUUUUAUAAUUUUUCUUUUUUUAAGAUUUUCUAAUAUUUUUAUGGGAAAAAUAUUAGACUAAACCAUAAGCUAUCAUGUGUAACUAUAUAAUUGUUUCAUCAAUUUAUUUUAAUGGUCAACAUGAUCAAUGACGAAAACCAUUAACGAAUGGGCUUAAUUAAUUAUUUUAAUUAACGGCAAAGGCUUAAUUGAUGCGAAUUUAAUACAAUGACAUGUCUAUCUUAGGGAGAUAAAUCUCAAAAUUAUAUAUAAACCUUUUAUUCUCAAAUGGCUUUUUUUAAUAUGAUUAUUCUUUUUAAUGUAAAAAUGGGCUUCUAAUAAAUUCAACAAUUAUUAGAUAUGUAAAGAGGAUUGAGGGAUCGAAAAUUAAAAUUUAACCUUUAUUUUUAAAUAUAGAGAAAGAAAAAAGCAAAGGAGAAAGUGGCAGAUGGACAAUGAACACUACUUUUUUAGAUGACUUAUACUAUAAAGUCCACGUGCCAUCAUCUGAAGACCAACAAUGGCAUAAAUAUCUGUCACAAAACAUAUUUUCCAUAGGAUAUAGUAAUAUUUAUACUUGUCGUAAAAGUAAAUUAAUAGAUGAAGCAAAAGUUACCCCUCUUCUUUCAUUUGAAAACAUCAAUUCUUUCAUCAUCCGCAUGACCACAAUAAUCUUGGUAUUUAGAAUUCAGCCAUAGCUUCUUCUUUUUUAUUCCUCUCAUAUCCGUACGUUUCCAUCCAGUAUGCACAUACAAUACACCACACAACUCAAGAAUCCCAAACUAAAAAAAAUAUUAAUAAUGCCAAUAACAACUUAAGCGAGGGGAAAAAAACGGGGGACAAACAUAUUUUUGGUAAAAGGCUAGCGGCAGGAUCCUUGACCACCACUUUACAGCCCUGUGAUUAGUGGUUGCAGUUGCUGUGAGUUGAUCCUCCUCUUUCUGAGGCGCUCGGCGAUAAUGAAGGCGAGCUCAAGAGAUUGGGAGGCAUUCAAACGAGGGUCACAGUGGGUAUGGUAGCGUGAACCCAAGUCAUCGAAUGUAACAGUCCGGGAUCCCCCGAUGCAUUCUGUCACAUUCUGUCCAGUCAUCUCUAGAUGAACUCCUCCAGGAUGACUUCCCUCUUGCUCGUGCACGUCAAAGAAAGCUCUCACUUCAGCCUGUCGAAAAUGGAUGUGAAUUAAUUAUGUUAUUGAAAAUUAGACAAACGGAUUGGCUACUACCAUCUAAAUAAUUGGAAGCCAUAGUAAAGUAGGAGAAUAAAACAGUGGUAGCAAAAUUCAAUUGAGAAUCAUCAAGAAUAGUUAGAUAAUCUUUAAAUAGAUUUUAUAUUGCAAUAUGGGUUUUGAAUCAAUCAUGAGUCGGGGAAAUAUGACCACCUACCAACUGAAAACAUAUUCUUCCCGAAAAUUAUUAUAAUCAUUACUUUAAGUAAUCUCAUUUCGUGAUUUGGUCCAAACAACUUUAAGAAAUCUUCUCUUUCUCACCUACCACACCAUCAUAUAUUUGAACUGAAAACUCUCCUCCUCGAAAAUAGACUAAUUUUUUUAAGAUGCAAAAUGCAACCACCCAAAUGGAUUGUUUUCGUUUCUUCACAAUGUGAUUGCUGUAAUGAGUGAACCUUCGAUUUUAGAAUCAAGUUUAACCCCACCAUGAUAAUAUGUUUGACUUCAAACUCUACCUAGAAAAUGUCAAACUUUUCCUUUUGAAAGGACAAAAUGAGGCCACCCGAGGGAUUUAACAUUGAAGCAAUUAUCAAUAGCCACUCCUCCUUUACUUUAUGACAAGAGGCAGAGAAAAUGCUUCUAAAACUAAAACAUUGAAGCACUUAUGAAUGGAUUCAAGAUGCAAACAAAUUGUAGCCCAUCUUUUCGAGCAUCACAUGUUAGUCCAUCUUAAAAUGUUCACAAUGAUAAACGUUUAUUCAAAUUAUGGUCCUCAGUUACUAUGACCCUUCCCUUUUUUGAACAAGGUAAUAAUUUUACCAUAAAAAGACCUGUCAUUUGUCAUUUCAUAUCGUGAGAAAGUAUUUAAUUGGACUCGAUAAAUUGCAGGAGUCCCUAAUUCAAAGGGGUAAGUGAAUAACACACAAAAUGACAAUUUAAGUCCAAUGAAUUAUCAGUAAUUAAUCCUUCAAAGUAAGAGGUUGAGUAAUGAUUAACAUACCCUUAUGGAAUCGAAGGGGCGAGUUUUGAGACCACAAGGAGCCUUGAUGGUGUUUCCAUGCAUAGGGUCACUGACCCAAGUGACAAUUUGCCCAGCACGACGCACUGCCCUAAUUAGAUGGGGAAGCUUCACUCUCAUAUUCUCAGCACCCAUUCUUGUGAUAACUGUAAUCCUUCCAGCUUUGUUCUGAGGGUUCAAAAUUUCAAUCAGCUUUACUAGUUCAUUCGGAUCCAUCUUAUCACUCACCUGUAGCAGAAAAGCCUCUUUGUUAGUCAUCUCACUCUCACAGAUAUAUAAUCAAAACUCAUAUUUAUUUGCAAAUAUUAAGCAUCGAAACUGCACACUUGACAAAAUAUAACCAAUUGAGUUGUAUAAGAUCCAUAGUUCAAUACCUCUUUUCUUAAACAAGAUAUAUAACUGAUUAUUUAGAAACAUUAGACCAGGGUGUCAUUACCUUAAUUCCAAGGGGAUUAGCAACUCCUCUCAAAAACUCAACAUGAGCACCAUCCAACUGUCUUGUUCGUUCCCCGACCCACAGGAAAUGAGCAGAACAAUCAUAGUAACGGCCUGAAGUAGAAUCAAGCCGGGUAAGUGACUGUUCGUAAGGUAAGAGCAAGCACUCAUGGGAAGUCCAGAAUUCAGUUGUUGUCAUGAUAGGAUGGUCAACUGUAAGUCCAGCUGCAGCCAUGAAUCC
rnacentral:lncRNA from 1 species